rnacentral:lncRNA from 1 species
GUGAAACUAAAAAAGGGUUGUGACUUGUGAGGGGGUCUUGUGGCUAUCAGUGUUAGAGUUAUUUAUUUAGUAAUAUCAAGUAGCUUUAUUUAGUUACUAUUUAGUUUUGUUUAGUUACUAUUUUUCUUUCUUAUUUAAUUACUAUAUUAGAAUUAUUCUCUUUCUUUUUUAGGUUUUAUUAGGUCUAUUUAAAUCCUAAUAGAGUUGUAUCUUUUUUUUUUUCAAGAGAAUUCAUAAUGAGAAAUCCUAGAUUUUCUUUUCUCUCUCUCUUUUUUUUUUUUUUUUAAUCUUUUUUUGAAUUUCAACAACUAGUUAUUGAAUGUUUGCUAAUUUGUUACCAAUUUUAUUAAUUAACAAGUUUGGAGUAUAUGGGUAGGCUGUAGGCAUGACAUGUGAUUGUUGUCAUCAAUGAUGUGUGUAGAGAAGUGGACAUGUGAGGGUGAGAUUGUUCAUAGCUUCUAUCCUCCAAGAUGUCCAACCUAUGUAUGCAUACUAUUUUGAGAGGGAUAUUCUUUCCCCCUAAGAUAAGAAUAUACAUAUUUUUUAGUUGUUUGCAUUUAUAUACCUUCUUUUUUCUUUUACUUUUUCUUUAUAUAAUUUGUACAUGAAUUGUUGGACGUCAUUUGUUGUACCUCGGAGGGCUUUUUUGACUCUAUGCUAGUCAGGGGCAUCACAGAGUGACCUCCCUAGGAUUCGAACUUGGGUCCUUAGAUCUUUGUGUGGCCCUCUUGGUACCAUCUUGGCUACAUGAAUGACUAGCUAGUACUUUGGUUUAAUAUUUUGUCCUUUUGCAAGUUGAGCAUAGACUGCAAAACUAUUGUUAGAUCAAGGGUAUGAUUUGGGAGUUUUGGGGAGUGAUUAUAUGAGGUUGGGAAUAUUUUCUAAUAUUCCAAAAAGUUUUUUAUUGAAGGAAGUUCAGAGUUAAUUCCAAAUUUUCCAUUAAUGUAUUAUAUUUGGAAUCUACAAAUAAUAUUUGGUUCUCUCCACAUGAAUAUAUUUAGGCUUAUUAUUUAUGUUAUUUUUGGUCAAUUUUUAUCAUGAAAAUACUCGGGAAGACAUUGAGGAUGAAUUUGGAGAUGAAUGGAGGAUGAAAACUCGAAAAAGGGUGGGGGCAAAGGGGGAGGAGAUUGAUGGCAUUGUUCAAAACCCCGACAACCCAUAGGCGAUAGAGCAUCGACUCCUUGGGGGACCAUCAACACUAUUUAGACCUCAAAUGAUAAACCUCAACAAUCUAUCCUACAAUAGAGUAUUGGCUAAAAGAUAGUUGUCUAGCUCCUUGGCAUUGCACACCUUGGAGCCAUCCAAAUCCUUGGUAUCGAACGUCUUAUAGUCAUCUAUCUCCUUAAAGCUGCGUCCCUUGGAGUUGUAAGAAAUAGGUGAGUGUGUAUUAAGUUGUAAGGGCACUUUAGGCUUUGUAUUAGGGGUAUUUUGGUCCUUAAAAAGAGCAUGGCUGAGAUGGUGGAGCAUAUAAAUAAAAACAAGUAAAUGUUAGCUGAGUAUACUCUCCAAAUCCAUCAUCAAUACACAAAAAGCGCGGCAAGGCCAUGUAUUUCAGGAAUCGAAUUGAACACCAGUAAGUUUCUAUAAAUCCAAAAUUAAACCAUAAUUUUUCGACAUCACACAGAUCAUAAAAACGAAUAAAAAUCCGAAAUUCAGAAGCAGAUCGAGAAACCAUCCCCCAAAAACAUCGCAGACCAAAUCAAACCAAGCCAAUUUGCACAAAGAAGAGCACAAAGUCGAGAACCAAAAAUCAUCAAAUCAUUCCAGUAAAUAAAACACACAAAAUCAGAGCCAGACUGCGAAUCGAAAUCAACACGUGCACGGAUUACCAAAAAAAUACCGAAAUAAACAAAUACAAAAUUGGGGAUCUUGGAGAAGCGGGUAGGAUCGAGAGAUGCAGAGAAGAAAUCAGGGUUUGAAGAGUGAGGUUAGGGACUUACAGUGGGGGAUCCAGAAGCGGAUGAUGAAACAUGAGGUUGUUGAGGAAAAAAGCUAGGAGACAUAGAGAGAGAAAACCAUAAAUACAAUUUUUCAUCAUAAAAUAUAAAAUUCAUUCAAAUAUAAUAAAAAAUUAUCGAUUUUCCAUAAAUAAAAAUUUGUGCCAAAAUAUUAUAAAAACCAUUUAUCAUAAAUAAAUAUUAUGAUUAAAUAUGACUUUUAACUAUGAAAAUAGAACUUAUGUCAAAAUUUUAUGAAAAUAAAUUUGCCCGAAAAUAUGAUGUGGUUAAUUAUGAUUUUUUACUGUGAAUAUAAACUUCAUCUAUAAAGUAAUCUUAUUGCCAUAAAAAAUAAAAAUCAUUGCAAAAUCAUUACAACAAAAUAUGAAAUUUGUUGUAGUUAAUGCAAAGUUGAGAAAAAUUGAAAAUAUGAUGUUUUUUCAUAGAUGGAAGGAUACUUAUUGACAAACCAUUUUUCCAUGACUUGCAAAGUUGUUUCUAAGGAUCUUUAUUAAUGUCGUAGAAUAUCACUAGGAAAAUUUAGUGUGAAACUUACCAAACAACUAGUUUGGCAACAAAUUCAUCAAUGCAUUUAUCUAAACUUCCACUUUCAUCAACUGCUUUUGUGGCCAAAUUCUUCAAUUUCAUAGCAUUGUUUUCAAUCUCUUUUAAUCUAUUACUUCUUAUCACUUGCCCUAUGCAAUGCUCCACGACUCUUCUUCUCACAAUCCCUUUGUUAUCGGCUUGAACCCUUAAUCCUAUCCCCCAAACAUCUUCAACAAACUCGGUGUUGGUGGGUUGAUUAGUCCAUAGAGGGGCAACCACCAUUGGAACUCCCAAGUUGAGUGCCUCCAACUUGGAGUUCUAACUGCCAUGGGUGAGGAAGCAUUCUAUUGCCCUGUGGACUAAAACAUCCAGUCAAGGACAACAUGACACCACAAACCCUUUUCCGCUAUCUCCUCUUUGAACUUUUGAGGCAAUUUGGUCUACUCAGAUUCCCUAACCACCAUCAAGAAGUAGGCAUUACUCCUCCUUAAACUCUAAGCUACUUCCUCCAUUUGCUUGGGUUCUAGCCUCACGAAGGUCCCAUAUGAGGCGUAAACAAUGGAUCCAUUGGGCUUGUUGUCUAGCCAUUCCAUGCAAGCACUUGUGACUAACUUGAGCAUGAUAAGGCUAUAGUCUUUGUCAUCUCCAAGUCGUUUAUUUAAGUAAGUAGAGAGAAUGAUUGGGUUGAUCGUCUUGAGCAGACAAAUCUUCGCCAUCCAAUCCACCACCUAGGAAUUCAAUGACAAACUUAGAUCAAUAAAAUAGUAUCAAAUGCUUAAUUUGACCCAAAAGAUUAAGAAUCCAUUUUAUAGUGAUUUUAUGAAGUGUUUGUAAAUUUUUUAGAUUUUUUAUCAAAAGAUUACUCGAGUGUUGUUGCAAAUGAAUGUAGCUAUUGUAAGCAAAAAGGUCACUUAAAAGGCUCAAUGUUUGAUGAUCCCCCUAGAACAAUACAACACUAGUCUUCUCAACAGUCUCAGUAGAGUCAGUUUAAUACUAGCCAAUAAUGUUUUUACAAGCUACCAUAGUUUAAUACCACAAUAGUUGUUCCUCCAUCUGACUUGUUUGGAUUUGGAUCCACAUUAUCCUCUAAUCCCAUUGUAGUUUCUGUUGUUGAACAAUUCCAGAAACUUCUCACCACUCAACCACAUUUUAUGUCUAUCUCUUCAGGUUUGCCAACCACUAGUUCUUUAGGUAUGUCUUCUUCCAUAUGGGUCUUAGACUCCAUAGCUUCUCAUCAUAUGUCUCCUAAUUCCUUAUCUUUUGUUUAUUUAUCUCCUAUAUCUUUUAUGUCUAUCAUGAUUGUUGAUGACACUCUUUUACCCUUAGCCAGUAUUGAUUUUGUUAUCAUACCUCAUUUGUCUAUUCCUCAUGUCUAUCAUAUUCCUAAUCUUACAUGGAAUCUUGUCUUUAUUGGUCAAUUAUGUGACUCUAGUUACUUAGUUUCUUUUUCUUCUACUUCUUGUUUUGUUCAAGAUCCUUAAUCCUAGAAGUUGAUUGGGACAGGUUGUAGGCAAAGGGGAUUGUAUAUUCUAAAUGAGCUAAAAGUCUUAAUAGUUGUAGCUCCUAGUCUUGAUUUGUCUUCUUUUCAUUUGAGUCAUUUUUCAUCUAGUUUUUAUUUUUGGCAUUCUCAUUUAAGACAUGUUUCGACUUCUCGUUUAAAGUAUUUAGUUUCUACAGGAGCAUUAGGAAAUUUGUAAACACAAGAUAUUUCUAAUUGUAAUGGAUGUAAACCGACAAAAUUUUCCGCCUUACCUUUUAAUAGAAGUGUUUCCUCUUCUUUCAUCUAAUUUGAUUUAGUUCAUUCAGAUGUGUGGGGACAUUCUCCAAUUUCUAAAAAAGAAGGGUCUCGAUAUUAUAUUUCCUUUAUUGAUGAUUAUAUUGAUUAUUGUUGGGUUCAUCUUACGAAAUACCACUAUAAUUUUCGGAAUAUUUAUAAUGCAUUUCAAGUUUAUGUCAAAACUCAACAUUCUAUUGUUAUCGAGUGCUUUAGGUGUGAUUUGGAUGGGGAAUAUACUUUCAAUGCAUUUUGUGAAUUACUUGUUUCACAUGGAACUAUUCACCACACGUCUUGUAUUGACCCAAGUUUGAGAUUACAAGCUAUAUUUGUGACAUGUGGAGUUCCAUUAUAGAUUGUCCUACGUGGAUUUUUUGUGUGUGGUGGAAAAUACUAAAUAACAUCAAGGAAAAGAAUGUAGUUUUCACUUUUUCUCCAACGGGAAUGAGAAUGGGGUGGUUUGGGGUUAAGCCUUCCCAUCAAUCAUUUAUCUAUAUCUGUUUUCAUGUUUAUUAAAAAAAAAAAUUAAUUGGAUGGUACAAAUAUAAAAAAUUCUCAUACUCAUCCAUCAUUUUUUACUUUUAAAAUUUUAAAUUAUAUUAAAAAUAAAUAUAAUUUAUAAAUAAAUAGAUAUUAUAAAUUUUUAUAAUGUAUUUAUAUGAAAAGUAAAAUAUUAUAUAUAUAUAUAUAUAUAUAUAUAUAUAUAUAUAUAUUAAAAAGAUUGAAAAUUAAAACAAAUAAAUUAAAAUAAUUUUUAUCUAAUAUCUAGAUAAUAUUAUAUAUAAUCUAGAUGGAAUGGAACAAAAUCAUAUGGGCACCUAAUUUUUAAAAAAAUUCUAAAUUCAUUUAUAUUUAUUCAAAACUUAUCCUAUUAAUGUCAUGUGUUAGAGUCUUGAAAAAAAAAAAUGUUAAUUCUUGAUUAUUUUUAUGGUUCAAGUUAGUUGGAUUUGAAGGUUAACCUCUAAAACUCCUCUAUCAAUUCUAAUGUGUGUCAAAUCUAACAAAUGGUUGAAAUAAAGUGAAGUUUUCAAGUUUAAAAGAAAAUUUCCAAAGAAAGCUCAAGCACUAAGGAAAUACUCCAAAACAUGAAGUUUUGGAUCCCUUGAAGACUCAAGUAUUUAGAAAAAUAUUAUAAGAUGGUUUCCAUUGGUGCACUUAGGAUUAAACUCUUUAUUCAUGCACUUCAAAAAGCCUUUACAUCAUCCCUACCUAAGCUUCAAAAGGUUUUUAUCUUCAAAAUGGAGGAAUUUGUUUCUUAUUUCAAAACCUUAGGCUAAAUUCUUUUAGAAACCUACAAAUGUUUUAAAAUGAAUUGCUCAAGCUAUUGGAAAAUUAGGAGUGAGUUUGGAAGCUUUUUGGGCUAGUUUUUGCCCAAUCGCUCAACUCUGCUCAAAAACUUUUUUUCUCUUCCAGAAGCUUGAUGACACCAAUAAAGCCUUUGGUUUUCCUGAUUGAGGUUUGGUUAAGGGCUGGUCAAACUUUUAAAGAACCAAUAGUCACCUAUUGUGUAUUAAAUGUGUCAAUGACUAGUCAACUGGUCAAACUAGAACUUAGCUGUCAAGAGCAAAUUUUGUUGUUUCAGGUGUCUAAUAUUAUUUUCUAUAAAUUGAAAAGCAUCAUUGCAUUUAAUGAGAAAAUGCCACUUGUAUUUAAUUGUUUGCUACUCAUUUUAUCUCUUUCAAAAGUUCUUCAUUGAAGUGCAUUGAAUCCAAACUUGCAAAUCCUUUAGUGUACAAUUGAAUUCCAUCAUAGUAUAGUUUUGUAUUGUGAGCCAUCUUUAUAUUAGGAUUGUAAGCUGUCGAGUUGUAAAUUGGUUGUAAUUGAGUUGUAAAUAGAAUGGGAAAAUUAUUUUAAAAUCCCUUGAAUUGAAGGAUUAAGUUAGAUAGUUUUUUUAUUUAGGAAUAAGUUAGUUUCUUAUUAUGUCUCUUGUUUCCUAUUUCUUCUCUUAUAAUCUCCUAUAUAAAUUGUGUGUAUAGUCAAUCUAAAAUACAAAACUUAUUAUUUUUCAUCCCAUAUUUCGUGUCAUGGCAUCAGAGUAGUAGGUUUUUAAAAUCUCAACAUCAUUCUAGCCUUCAUCGCCAUUUUUCUAGCCUUCAUAACUGGAUUUUUUUUUUAUUCACGUUUCCUUUCUCUGCUUUGUUUUGCAAUAUUUUUUGAAGGCAAAACAGAGUAUUUCACAUGUUCUUUUACCAGCCUUCAUUGCUGUUGGUUUUUUGUUUCACAAUUUGUUUUAAUUCCCAAGAGAUUAGGUUUUUCGUGGAAGAUGCCGAAGGUUGCAGAGACGACUACUACAACACAAUUGGAGGAGAUUGUUCGAUCUCAACAACCCAGGGAAUUGCAAAACAUUCAGGCUGCAUAUAGGCUAGAUGGAAAAAAUUACUUUAAAUGGUCUCAACUUGUUCGCACUAUGCUGAAAGAGAAAUGAAAGAUCAACCAUCUUAUGGGUACAAGGCCAAAACCAGGAAAUCCCCGUUUUGAAGCAUGGGAUGAAGAAGAUUCUAUGAUUAUGACAUGGCUGUGGAAUUCUAUGAAUCCUAAGAUUAGCGACACAUGUAUGUUCUUGGCUACAACUAAGGAUAUUUGGGACACAAUCCAACAAACGUAUUCAAAAGCUAGAGAUACGACUCAAGUAUAUGAGGUUAAGGUGAAGACAAUUGCUGCAAAAUAGGGAAGUAAAACAGUUACUGAAUAUGCCAAUCAAUUGAAAGCUUUGUGGCAAGAACUUGAUCAUUAUAGGAUGAUAAAAACCAAAUGUCCUGAGAAUGCCACUGUUCUAAAGGAUUUCAUUGAACAAAAUAGAGUUUAUGAUUUUCUUGUUGGGCUUAACCUAGAAUUUGAUCAAGUGAGAAUCCAGAUUCUUGGCAAGCAAGAGGUUUCAUGAUUUAAUGAGGUGGUGGCACUGAUUCGAGGCGAGGAAAGCCGAAUGAGUGUUAUGCUUGAACCACAAACCUUGGAUGGAUCAGCCUUAGUUGCAAAAAAAAAAAAAAAAAAUUUAGAGUAAGGAAAGAAUGAUCUGCCUAAACACUUAGGUUUAGACAAUCAAUGGAAGGAGAACAAGGACAAUCUAUGAUGCACCUAUUGCAAGAAACCAAGGCACACAAAAGAGAAGUGUUGGAAGCUGAACGGUAAGCCACCAAGUUGUGAAUAGGGAAACCGUGGAAGGCAGCAAAUGCCUUAAUCACACAUGGCAGAGCAACCCAAAACUGAGGAAAAUUCAGUAACAGGCGGGUUCAAUAGUGAAGAAAUGGAGAAGCUGAGAAGCUUGUUGGGAUCCUUUAACAAAUCUACUAAAACUUGUUCUUUGGCUCUUUCAGGUACGCCUUCAUUCUCUUUUUGCAUAAAUGCCUCACACAGGGUUUAUGAUGACUCUUGGAUAAUAGACUUCGAUACCACAAACCAUAUGACCUCCAAAUCUCAACUUUUCCAUACCUAUUCCCCAAGCCCAAGUAACAAGAAAAUUGCAGUGGCCAAUAGCUCUUUAGCUACCGUUGCAAGUUUCAGAGACAUAUACAUCACACCUAUCCUUAUUGUUAAAAAUGUCCUCCAUGUACCAAAAUUGUAGGCCAACCUUGUUUUCAUUCAAAAGGUUACUCAUGAUCUUAAAUGUUAUACUAUUUUUUUCCCUUCUUAUUGUGUUUUUCAAGAAUAAAGCUCGAGGAGGAGGAUUGGACUUGCUAAGGAAAGGAGCGGUCUUUACCACCUUGAAUCAUCUCAGAAAACUAGUAAUAAUUUGUCGUUGUCUUUUAUCAGUUCCUCAAAUAAAGAUACCAUUUGGUUGUAUCACUUACGUCUAGGUCAUCCAUUUUUUAGGGUUUUAAAUGUCAUGUUUCCUCAUUUGUUCCAAGGAUUAAAUAUUUCUAAGUUUCAUUGCAAAACUUGUGAAUUGGAAAAACAUUCUCGUGUAUCUUUUCCUAUUAGCAAUAAAAGAAGUUCUCAUCAUUUUCAUUUGAUUCAUAAUGACAUAUGGGGUCCUUCAACUGUACCUAGUGUUUUUAGGGCUCGUUGGUUUGUAUCCUUAAUUGAUGACUGGGGUUACAUGGAUCUUUCUUCUUAAACAAAAAUAUGAUGUUAGCAUUGUUAUACCUAAUUUUCACUCAAUGGUUCAAAACCAAUUUGGGGUCAAAAUAAAAAGCUUUAAGACAGACAAUACUAGAAAUUACUUCAACCAGAUUUUGUCACCCUAUUUUCAAUCAUAGGUCAUUCUCCAUGACUCAUCAUGUGUUAACAUAUCCCAACAAAAUGGGGUAGCCGAGAGGAAAAAUGGGCAUUUACUCAACACAACUCAAGCCUUACUCUUUCAAGGGAAUGUUCCUAAGUCCUAUUGGGGGGAAGUUGUUCUUACUGCCACAUACAUGAUAAAUAGAAUUCUCUCACGAGUGUUAGACAACAAAAGCCCCGUAUAGAUACUUAAGAGUUUCUAUCCACACUUCAUAACCUCAAAUGGGCUUACUCCUAGGGCAUUUGGGUGCACUACAUUUGUUCAUGUCCAUAGCCAACAUAGAGACAAGCUAGACCCUCGAGCCAUAAAAUGUGUCUUCCUUGGUUACUCAUCCACUCAAAAAGGAUACAAGUGUUACAAUCCCUCAGCUAGAAAAUUAUACAUCUCUAUAGAUGUCACCUUCACAAAAAAUAAACAUUUUUUCUCCAAGUCCUCUCUUCAAGGGGAGAUUUCAAUAAUGGAAUAUAGUCCUUGUGAGUCCUUUGAACCUCUUGACCUUCCUCAUGUCUCAACCCAUGGUGAUGAAAAACCUGAGUCACCCAAUUUUCCCACUAAAUCUGUGUCAUCCCCUGUUCCAGCCAAUGUCACUCGCAAUUUUCCACAAUUUCCUAAGAUGUAUUCAAGGGAAAAGGUCAUUCCAGAACAAAAGUAGGUCCAAGAAUCCAACUUAGACCCUAGGAAUGAAAUCACGGUAAGAUCAGAUCCAUCUUUACAUACACAACCUGGUGAAACUUCCACUGACUCAACAGAUAACCUAAACCUAAACCUUCCCAUUGUUGUCAGAAAAUGCACCGGAGAAUGCACUAACUGACCACUCUAUCCACUAUCACACUAUGUGUCUCUUAAGCACCUAUCACCAGCCCAUAAGAAUUUCAUUGUGAGUCUAAACACCACUAUCAUCCCUAACAUUGUUUCUGAGGCAUUGACAAAAAAAUAAUGGAAGGAUGCUAUGAGAGAGGAUAUGAGUGCAUUAGAAAAUAAUAAAACAUGAGAGUGUGUUGAAAGACUAAAAGGGAAAAAAACAUUGUUGAUUGCAAGAUUUUCAUGUUGAAAUAUAAGGCUGAUGGAUAUCUUGAGAGACAUAAAGCAAGAUUGGUAACUAAAAGGUACACUCAAACUUAUGGAGUUGAUUAUUAGGAGACUUUUGCUCCAGUUGUAAAAAUGAAUAUUGUAAGAAUCCUAUUAUCACUGGUUGCCCACUACAAUUGACAACUCCUACAGUAUGAUGUUAAGAAUGCAUUUCUUCAUGUUGAUUUAGAUGAAGAGAUUUACAUGAACAUCCCACCGGGAUUUGAGGAAAACAUAGGUAACAAGGUGUGCAAGCUGGAAAAGGCCCUUUAUGAGCUAAAAUAAUAUCCUAGAGUUUGGUUUGGGAGAUUUGAAAAAGUCAUGAAAGAGUCUGGGUACAAACAAAGCCAAGAUGACCACACUCUCUUCAUUAAGCACUUGGCUGCAGGGGGAAUAACUGCUCUUCUAGUCCAUGUUGACGACAUCAUAGUGACUGGAAAUGAUGAGAGAGAAAAGUAUGAAGUGAAACAAAGAUUAGUAACAGAGUUAAAGAUAAAGGAAUUAGGGAAAUUGAAGUACUUCCUCGGGAUUGAGGUGACAUAUUCCACACAAGGGAUCUUCAUCUCUCAACAAAAGUAUAUGACUGAUUUAUUGACAGAAGUAGAGAAGAUUGGGUGUAAACUAGUCUCUACCCCAAUGGAUCCAAACCACAAUUUAGGAGAAGCUCAAGAAGAACCAGUGAUGGAUAAAAGAAUGUACCAGAGGCUGGUUGGUAGGCUCAUAUACCUUGCUCACACUCAGCCAGACAUCGCCUACUCGGUGAGCGUGAUCAGUUAAUUUAUGCAUGAUCUAAGAUAACCUCAUCUUCAAGCUGCUUAUAGGGUGCUGCAUUACUUGAAAGAUAACCCAAGAAAGGAAUUUUGUUCAAGAAGAACAAUACUCUUGCUUUAGAAGCAUACACCGACGCUGACUAUGUAGAUUCCCUAGUGGAUCGAAGAUCAACUAUAGGGUAUUGUACUUUUCUUGGAGGUAAUCUAGUAACAUUGAGAAGUAAAAAGCAGAAUGUGGUAGCAAGGUCAUCUGCAGAAUUAGAGUUUAAGGCCAUUGCUCAAGGAUUGUGUGAAAUACUUUGGCUAAAGAUUAUUUUAGAUGAUUUGAGAAUCAAGUAGGAUGGUCCUAUGAAGCUCUAUUGUGACAACAAGUCAGCUAUCAAUAUUGCUCAUAACCCUAUACAACACGAUAGGAUAAAACAUAUUGAGAUUGAUAGGCAUUUCAUCAAAGAAAAAUUAGAGGAAGGAGUAGUGUGUAUGUCCUAUGCUCCAUCAGAAUAUCAAUUAGUUGAUAUCUUAACAAAAUGGCUGAACAGUUCAACGUUUCACGAUCUUGUAUUCAAGCUAGGAAUGGAAGACAUAUAUUCCUCAGCUUGAGGAGGAGUGUCGAGCUAUAAAUAGGUUGUAAUUGAACUGUAAAUAGAAUAGAAGAAUUAUUUUUAAAUCCCUUAAAUUGAGGGAUUCAGUUAGAUAGUUUUCUGAUUUAGGAAUAAGUUAGUUUCCUAUUAUGUCUCUUGUUUCCUAUUUCUUCUAUUGUAAUAUCCUACAUAAAUUGUGUGUAUAAUCAAUCUAAAAUACAUAACUAAUUAUUUUUCAUUCCAUAUUUCGUGUCAUAAGCAUUAAAAAUACUUCUACCAAUUUAUUCUUGAGUGAGAUAGACUUUAAGUUGGUGAAGAACUUCAAGGAAGUGUAGUGCCCAUUAGAGCUAUGAAUCUAAGUGAACAUGAUUAAAGAUUUGGUUUUGAAGCCUUAGUUAGUAAAUCCCUCACUUAGAAAAAGAUUAAGGAGAGUGAAUGUAGGCAGGAUUGUUGAACCACAAUAAAUCCAUUUGCAUCUUUCUUCCUUUAAUUCUUUAUUUAUUUGCUUUAAUUGUUGCUUGUUUACUGUUUUAGUUUUUCAAUUUUGAAAAGUUUUUAAUAACCCAAUUCACCCCACCCCCACCCCCUUCCUUUUAGGUGUUUGAAUGAAUUAGUUAGCCUUAUUGUAUAAUAGUUUAACUUAAAAUUUACUUCAUCCAUUUUUUUUUCAAUUGUCAUGAAGCUCAUGUUGGUCAUGAAAAAACUUAUGUCGAAUAGGGUAACACCAAAGGUGGUUAAAUGGGUGACCUUUUAAAGAUUAUAAUAUAAUGAUUAACAAACUUAACCUAAAUAAGUUUUGUGAGAUGAAUUUAUCCUAUUUUAAAUUGACCUAAUCUUGUGAGAUAAUAUGAAAAAUCAAUACAAAUACAAUCACAUAAUGGACAAAGGAUUUUUACGUGGAAAACCCACACACUAAUUGUGGAAAUAAAAAACUAUAAGGUCUAAGACCUCUAAUUCACUAAUCCACUAUAUAAGAACAAGGUAAAUAGAUUUGUUUGGCAGCAUUACCCUAAAGACUUACUCUUCAACACUUAUACCUUAACCCAUAUCUGUGACGCAACACCUCUAAUGCUUCAAUGGAUUUACCUCAGCCUCUGAGAGGAUGUAGGUCCUUAGCAACCCAAAAUUCAAAGUGAUAAAUCCUUGUUGAGAGUUUGGGAAUGUUAAGGCAAGUUGGGUUGAUUAUCUCAAAAUGUCCAACCCUAAAAUGGGUUUAUAUAGGUUCUUAGACCUAAGGAAUUGAUAACUAGAAUUUUUCCUAAAAGAAUAAUUGUGAAAGUCCAUAAAAGAAAUCUACCAAAUUCUAGUAGAUUCAGAAGGGCCACUCAAGCUCAUUUAACCAUUGCUCGAGCGCCUUAAGCACUUGAGUGGUGCCACUGUUUGAGUGUCCUUUGUUUUUCCAGAACAAGAAUGAAUGCAUUUUAGUUUUUAAAAAAAUAAUGAAUCCACUCUAAGCCUCAAGCACCUUACUUGCCACUAAACAAACCUUUUUAAACUUACCUAUAACUUUCUGAUUGAGCAAUCAACAACCUGAAAUCUUCAGUUGAGAGUAAGUCACUAUCUAAAAACUUUCCUAUGUCAAGAUGAAUAGAAACAAAAUCGCCAACAAACAAGGUACAUGACUCAAUAUCCUAACAAGUCACUCCAUCUUCAUAUUCCUCUUUGGUUGAUUCUUCACUAUCAUAUAAAUUUGGGGGAAUGAUCUUGGAUUUUCUUGGAAAGAGAAUCCAUUGUAAUCAAUUGUUGAUUUGUUGAUUUGUUUUCUCUAUUUUAAUCAAUUGUUUCUAAUUUCUUUUAUUCAAUAAUGGUCUUUUAUUCUUCUUUUAUUGUUUAUGUGAAUGAAAUCACGACCAUGAGGAGCUAAAAAACUAUCUUAGGGCAUGAAACAUGAAAACCUAGGGUUAGAGCCAAAGGAAAAUAAUGGGUAAAAUCGAACUAAAAAUUAAAUGAAUUAUGGAUUGAGACAUUAUAGUUGAAAACAGAAAUAUCCUUUAAUGUUUGUUUGAAUUAGAGAAUGAUACAAUAACUCAUUUUUUGAUACUAGGGAGUUUUGGUAAUUCUUGAUCCCUAGUUAUUUGAGGUUUUGCUAUUAUUAUCUACCCUAAGACAAAUCUAUAUAAAGUGGUAAAUGCCCAAAUCCUAUACCUAAACUCAAUUUUCAUACCCAUUUAUCUAUUUGGUAUUUCAAUAAUAGAAUAAAAUAUUAAAAGUUAUGAUACAGAUGCAACCCUGAGUUAUGGAACUCAAGUUGAUCUUGUUUGACUCCACAUUCUGAAUACCCUAAGGUUAACUAAAAUUGAUACCCUUGUUUUGCCUGAGACCCUAUACCCAAAGUUGGAUUGUAGAACCCCUAGUCUUGAAUCAUUUGAAUUAGAAAUUAAUAUUUUUAUUUUUUACAAUUUAAUUAGAUAUAUUUUAAUAGAUUCAAUUUUAUUCAAAUUAAUUUUACACAUUCUUAGUUCAAGAAAUCAAGUAAAAAACAAUCAUUUAGAUAUAGUUUGACAACUUUCAUAGGUCAAUCCUUUAGAACGAUACCCGAAAUACUACAAAAGUCAUAAUGACUCUUUCUCUAGAUUUUCUUGGCUAUGGUUGCUAUAUAAUCUAGGCAUAGUAUUUUGGACAACAGAGAAUCAUGGUCACUAUUACACUUAGACUUUUAAUCCUAAGGAACCUUUAACAAAACUCAAGAAAUGUCUCACUCUUAAAUGAUCCUUCAUUGAUACCUUACCCUUAAGAUAACCCUUCAAGUGAUUCCACACAUUUGAUAAUCCCUAUGUGAUGCCUCACACAUAGAGUUUUCCAUUAAGUGACAUCUCAUAGUUAAGAUCACCCUCAUAAGGUUAAAAGAAUUUGAUUUAUUUUUUUGAAAAAGAUAAGGCACCUAAUUACAACAUUUUGACUCAAGGAUACAAAUGAAACUAGGAUCAAAAUAAUUAAAAUAAAUAAGUUUAAGAACAAAGUGCAAUCAAAAUACUUGCAAAGGGUUAAAGGAUUUUUCAACAAAUGUUUAGAACAUUCUCCCAUUAACCUGUCGGCCGACUAGUUUAGGCUUUGCCUUAACUGGUAGAUAUUGCCAAGAAUAUUAGAGUUCAAAAUCCCUUGACUAAUCAACUUAUAGGGUGAUUUGUUGACCCAAUUUUUAAGAUUUUGUGAAAAACUAUCUCCCAUCUUAGUCAAUGGCUCCCCACAGGGUUUUUUUUUCUUGUAAUUGAGGUGUAAGGCAAGGUUUGGAACCGUCUCUUAUUCUGCCUUGCUGAAGAAGUGCUCAAGGAUUGACUACCCUUUACAACAUAGGAAGUCUUAAGCCUACUUCAAUUCCAAGAAGGUGUUCCCUUACAUAAUAUACUAAUGACACUUUUAUCUUUUGUAGGGAGAAAUUCUACAACUUUGACCAACCUUAAUAAUUUUUUAGAGUUGUAUGGUUAAUAGUUGGGUCAGAUUGUCAAUAAAGAAAAAACUUUAUUUUUGCUCAAAAACAUUAGAAAAAACUAACUAAAUAAACUCCUUAUGAUUUUGAAAACCUUUUAAACAUUCAUUAUAUAAAUCAAAGGUGGUUUUCAAUUAAGAAAACAUUUUAUCCAAUUUUGAAAAGAUUAAGGACAAGUUUGAGUUCAAUUAGAUGAGUUUUGGUGCUUUAAAUAAAUAAUAUGCAAUUCUAAUUUGGUGUACUCAUAAUUUUACAUUAAAAUAACCUAAAAAUGAUCUUGGUAAACCUUCUUGAAGUACCCUUUGAUCUCCUUAAUUUUUUGAUAAGAAUUUUGUAUUGAUUUCCUCUUUUGCUCCAUAUAUCUUUUCUUUCAUUGCUCUAAGGAAAUCUUCUUAGCUGUCACACUCAAAAUUAAGUAUUAGAUCAAAUCUUUGUUUUAAACUUCAGUCUAACAAUAAAGGCUUGUUCGAAAAAUGCAUUUUUUUUUUCAUUUUUCUAGUUUCAAGGUCGUUAUUAAUAAUCUUGUGUUUGAUUGAAUUUAAUUGGAAGAUUGAUCACUUGAUCACAAAUUAUUAAUAUGCCAAACCGUCUAUUGUUUACAAAAAUAAAUCAAAAAUAAAAAUAGGUCAAUAAUAUAUAUUAAAUUAUGCAAAAAUUAAAACUACUCAUUUAUGUUUCAUGAAAGAAAAAAUGUUUUUAAGUAAUUCAAGUUCAUUGUUAGAUAUGUAUACUUUAUUUUUAUUUAUUUCAGGUAUAUCAAUACAAUAAUUUCUUGAUUACAAGCAUUUCAUUAAAAGAAUGCAGUAAUUUUGAUCGUAGUUUAGUUUCUUAUAGUAAAAAAAGAAAAAAUAUUAGAAUUUUUUUUAUAAAAAUUUAAGAUCAUGACACAUGUUCACAACAUACUUUUUUUAUACUCCACACCAACUUAUUCCAAAUAAGUCUUAAUCUCAAUGAUAAUAAUAAUGAUUCAAUCUUAAUCAUUACAUAAAAAUAAUGCUAUUAUUAAUUCAAUCUUAAUUGGUAAAUAAAAUAUAGAAGAUAAAUGUUGCAAUAUUGGUAUUGUUGUGCAUGUUCAUUUCUUAUUGAAAAAGAAUGAGAGAUGGCACCAAAUAUUCAAGUACUACUACCCCAACAACAUAAUUGGCUCCACCAUCCAAAUCAUUUAUUUUAUUUAUUUGUUUUUGGAUAGAAUCAACUUGAAUGUGUUGAUAUAUGUCCUUUUCACUUUGGCUCCUCCUCUUAAUGGUUUUAUAUUUUAUGUCAAUUCAGAAAGCUCUCUCUCUCUCUCUCUCUCUCUCUCUCUCUCUCUCUCUCUCUCGCUCGCUUUAGGAAAGUAUGAGUAAAGUUGGUUGGGAAGAGUUUUUCAAAAGCUAAAAGCUAAAUGAGUAGUAUUCAAUUCAAUUAUUAGUCUAAAAAUUUAAAAUUUAAAUUUUUAUAAGUUCUUUUAUUAGGAUGCUAACAAUAAAUUAAUUUAAGAAUUUCUGAUUACAUAAAUAGACAAAUAAUUUACACGAAAAACCAUUCAUAAAAUCUCUUAAAAACCUUACAAAUGUAUAACCAUAUGAUUGAAUAAAUAUUUAGAUUUAUCUAAACACUCGCAUAUUCUCCCUAAACUUACACUUUCAAAACCUUUAUUAAUCUUCAUGCCCGUGAUAUAGUAUUUUAACGUUUCUUAAUAUACUUCUCAAUGCUUUGAGAGGAUGUAAUCUACCACCAUGAAUUUAACUUAAUGAAUAAAAAUUAAUGUUUUUGGGAAUCUUAGUAAAAUUGAAAUAAGAGAAAAUUAAUAAUAUGGCUUCUCUUGUCCAAAUUUUUGGUGAUAACUGAACAUUUAUAACCACAAUUUUCCCAGAAAGUAAGAGAAAAUUAAUGUGCAUGGGUCGGGAUGCAAACUUGACAGAAAUUGUUUCUAAGAAUCUUUAUUGUGGUAGAAUAUCACUAGGAAAAUUCAGAGUGAAAGUUACCAUGCAACUAGUUUAGCCACAAACUCGUCAAUGCAUUUAUCUGAACUUCCACCUUCAUCAACUGCUUCCCUGGCCAAAUUCUUCCAUUUCAUGGCAUUACUUCUAAUCCCUUUUAAUCUAUCACUUCCCAUCACUUCCCCUAUGCAAUGCUCCAGGACUUCUCUUCUCACAAUCCCCUUGUCGUCCGCUCAAGCUCUUAAUCCUAUCCCCCAAACAUCUUCAACAAACUUGGCGUUGGUGGGUUGAUCAGUAAAUAGAGGGGCAACCACCAUUGGAACUCCCAGGCUGAGUGCCUCCAGAGUGGAGUUCCAACCGCCAUGGGUGAGGAAGCAUCCUAUCGCCCUGUGUGCCAAAACCUCCAAUUGUUGACACCAUGACACCACCAGGCCCUUUUCCUCUGUCUCCUCCUUGAAGUUUUGAGGCAGUUUGGCCUGCUCAGAUUCCCUGACCACCAUCAAGAAGUAAGCAUUGCUCCUCCUCAAACCCCAAGCUACUUCCUCCAUUUGCUGGGGUUCUAGCACCGCGAAGCUCCCAUAUGAGGCGUAAACAACGGAUCCAUUAGGCUUGCCGUCCAGCCAUUCCAUGCAGGCACCAGUGACUGGAUUGAGCAUAUUAAGGCCAUAGUCUUUGUCAUCUCCAAGCCGUUUAUUUAAGUAAGCAGAGGGAAGGGUUGGGCCGAUCGUCCUGAGAGGACAGAUCUUCGCCAUCCAAUAUUCCACCACCUGAGAAUUCAAUGACAAACUUAGAUUAGCAAAAGAGUUUGAUCAAAAACUUAAUUUUACCCAAAAGAUUAAGAAUCCAUUUGAUAAUGAUACUACAAAGAGCUUCUAGUUAACAUUUUUAGCACUUAAAAUUUUUUUAUCAAAAGAAUUACUUUGAAGUGUUAAAAAAUUAGAAACGUUUAUUAAAAUUAUUAUCAAAUAAAUUCUAAGUCACUAGCUAUCUGGUCAACUCAAGUAAGGCUUUUCCUUGUAAAAGGGCGCUUGUUACCCCAUAAACAUUUUAUUUGACCCAAAAGAGAAACUAUUAAGUAUUAAGUACCAAUAAAUGUCUCAAACUAAAAGCGCCGGCUCAAGUAGGACUUUUCCUUAGAAAACGAGUUUCAACAUAGUCAUAUGUCUUUUCCAUUCUCAAAGUUUUAACAUAGUCAUAUCACCCAAAAGAUUAAGCCAUUAGCUAUUGGGUCGAUCAUCUCAAACAAGACUUUUCCUUACCCUGAUAAACCUUUUAUUUGACCCAAAAGAGAAACUAUGAAGUACUGAGUCAAUAAAUUUCUCAACCUAAAAGCUUAAGCUCCAGCAGGGACUUUUCCUUCUAACAACGUCCUCCUUUUUAAUAGGAAAAGCUUAAACUAUUAGAUAAUAAGUACCCAAGAAUGUACAUGUAGCCAACUUAGAUGAAGUACCUUACCUUUCCCCCUAACUUGUAGAAGGUGUUGCAGAACACCCAGUCUACCUUCUCAAUAUUGGAGAACUGAUUCACAAGCAUGUUGAAGAAAUCCGGGUAGGAGCCAUAAAGAUAAACAAGAGAUGGCAGGUCGCAGGCUUGAAGAGGGAACAAUCCAGGAACCACAACUUCAGGCUCUAAAAGAGGAAGCUUGAGCAUACCCUGGUGGACAUGGUAGUAUAUGUUGUUGACCAUACAAGACUGAGUGAAAAACACAGCCCCCACAAGCCCUAACUUCUUGGCAACAUCAAGAGCCCAAGGCAAGAAUGCAUCAUACACAACACAAUCAACUGGACACCCUGAGCUUUUGAGCUUCUCAAUGAGGCUGCCCAGGGUUUCUGAGCCAACCACCUGGAACCGCUCCAAGUAGGUGCCGCCACUCCCCGCUUGGGCGAAGCCGCCGUCAUCAUAGCCAUCGGAGAUGGUCUCGAUGGCGAUUGGACCAGAGUCUCCAAGCAAGGACUUGGAGAUGAAGUGUGUAGCAACCAGUGUGACUUUGGCUCCAUUGUGCACCAAACACUUGGAGAAUUGGAGCAUAGGGUUUAUGUGGCCUUGGCUUGGAAAUGGGAGGACUAUGCAAUGAGCUUUGUGGGUUCUCUUUUCCUUCUCCAUAUUCCUUCAAAUCUCCACUCUUGAGCUCUUUGUCACAAGAUGCUUCAAAUGACCCUCCCCAUGGCUUAUAUAGGAGGUGAGAAGCUUCUAGAGACCCUUGGAGACAUCCAUACUUAGCCACUAGUGGGAAGAGUGUGGAAGGUUCUAGAAAUGCCUAGAGAAGUCCACACAACUCUACACUAUGGUAGAAGGCAUGAGAAGGGUCCAAAGCUUUCUAGAGAAAUCUAGAAGUCUCUUGUAUAUAGGCUUGUACAUAGAAUAGUGUAGGACAUUCUAGAAUAUUCAUGAAUUGUAAGGAACCCUCCAAGGUUCUAGAGAGUUCCAUUGGUGCCUAUAAAUAAGUGAGGGCCUCAUUUGGCCAAGGCACCAAACUAGUGAGCAUCCAAGCACUUGUAAAGGCUUUCUUGAGUUAAUAAGAGCUUCCAUUCUUUAAGGAGUUGCCUACUAAGCUCUUAAGCUUUUGAGUCGCGAGUGUCUUAGUCGAGCAAGCUAAGCGUUGGGGAUCAAGGCUGACUUAGCAAGAUCAAGCGUCUUGACUUGCCUAAGUGCCGCACGAGCUUAGUGAACGACUAAGUCCGUGACAAGUGGUAUCAGAGCGUGGCUACGAAGUGGGCAUAAGGGAAGCAUGUCGGGCUCUAACGUGGAAAAGACUAGCUAACAAACCCGUGGGAGGGAGGUCGAGCCUACUGCACGGGGCAGGGGCAAAGGUAAAAAGGAUACAUCUCGUGAUGUUGUUGCCAACAUGGAGGCAAGGUUAGCCAAGGUGGAGCUAGCCAUGGCAGACACCCGGGAAGGAGUGGACUUGAUUGAGCAAGGCAUGGAGAAGGGCUUAGAGGAUCUAAGGGAGCAGAUCCAAGACCUUCGCCAGGGGGUGCUGGUCUCGCAAGUUCAGCCGGUGUCACACGAGGAGUUCAUGUCCUUCCAAGACAAGGUCAUGAGCAUGUUCGCUAGUGUGGAGUCAAGGAUGGAGGCCUUGACUGCACGAGUGGAGGCCCGAGACCAAGAGAUUCGACAAGAGUUGGCCAUCUAUAAGACCGCUGUAUCAGCACGAGUCAUGGCCACUCAUGAGGCACCAAGGGUGGAGGUGCCCAAGCCACACACGUUCAGUGGCAAGAGAGAUGCCAAGGAGCUAGAUAACUUCUUGUGGCACAUGGAGCAUUACUUUGAGGCAAUUGCAUUGACGGAUGAAGCCACUAAGGUACGCACCGCGACCCUUUACCUCACUGAUAAUGCUACUCUAUGGUGGCGUCGACGAUUUGCCGACAUAGAGAGAGGGACGUGCACCAUAGACACAUGGGAUGCCUUUAAGAGAGAAAUCAAGAGACAAUUCUAUCCCGAAGAUGUGGCUUACCUAGCAAGGAAGAGUUUGAAGCGUCUCAAGCACACGGGCUUGAUCCGUGAGUAUGUCAAAGAAUUCUCUACUCUUAUGCUUGAGAUACCUAACAUGGCUGAGGAGGAGCUACUGUUCAACUUCAUGGACAACUUGCAAAGCUGGGCCGAGCAAGAGUUGAGGAGACGUGGUGUCCAAGACCUAGCCACGGCCAUGGCAGUAGCCGAGUCCUUAGUAGAUUAUAAAAGGGGAGACUCCUCCAAGCCCAAGCCACCAUCCAAGGGUAACCAGGCCAAAGGUGGGGGAGACAAGAGGUCGCAGGGCCACACUCCUAAGGAAGGAUCAAGCAAAGGCCCUAGUGGCAAGGAUGGCAAAGGCAAAGACAAGUGAAAGGAGUUCACGCCCAGGACCAAUUGCUUCUUGUGUGAUGGUCCGCACUGGGCACGAGACUGCCCUAAGAGGAAGGCUUUAAAUGCUAUGAUUGAGGAAAAGGAGCAGGAGGGCGAUGCUAAAGUGGGAUCGUUGCAGCUCCUAAAUGCCCUUAAGGCUAAGCCGAUGCCUAAAAUGCCUCAAAGCAAAGGGCUGAUGUAUGUGGAGGCCCUUGUGAAUGGGAAGGCCACCAAGGCCCUGAUGGACACAGGUGCCACUCACAACUUUGUCUCGGAGGAUGAGGCAAGAAGGCUGGAGCUCCAAGCAUCCAAGGAAAGAGGAUGGCUCAAGGCAGUCAAUUCAGCCGCUAAGCCAUCACAUGGAGUAGCUCGCGGGGUGACUAUGCACAUCGGCUCGUGGGAAGGAAGGGUCAACUUCACAGUGGCACCCAUGGACGACUUCAAGAUGGUGCUAGGAAUGGACUUCCUACAGAAGGUCAAGGCCGUGCCACUACCUUUCCUACGCUCAAUGGCUAUCUUAGAGGAGGAGAAGUCGUGCAUGGUCCCUACGAUCAAUGAAGGUACGCUCAAGACCCCUAUGCUAUCCGCUAUGCAAGUAAAGAAGGGGUUAAAGAGGGAAGAAGUGACCUACCUCGCCACCCUGAAGGAAGAGAAGGAUGAUGGGUCGGGAGAACCCAUGCCUAAGGAAAUUGAGGGGGUCCUUGAUGAAUUCAAGGACGUAAUGCCGCCCGAGUUACCUAAGAGACUUCCUCCUAGGAGAGAGGAAGAUCAUAAGAUUGAAUUGGAGCCAUGAGCCAAGCCCCCUACUAUGGGGCCAUAUAGGAUGGCACCACCCGAGUUGGAGGAGCUAAGGAGACAACUCAAGGAGUUGCUAGAGGCGGGGUUCAUCCAACCAUCCAAGGCUCCCUAUGGCGCGCCGGUUCUAUUUCAGAAUAAGCAUGAUGGGUCCCUACGAAUGUGCAUAGAUUACCGGGCACUCAACAAGGUGACGGUGAAGAACAAGUAUCCCAUCCCGCUCAUUGCUGACUUGUUCGAUCAACUUGGAAGGGCAAGGUACUUCACGAAGCUAGACUUAAGGUCAGGCUACUACCAAGUCAGGAUUGCGGAGGGAGAUGAGCCGAAGACUACAUGUGUGACCAGGUAUGGCUCAUAUGAGUUCUUAGUGAUGCCUUUCGGACUCACCAAUGCCCCAGCAACGUUUUGCACCCUCAUGAACAAGAUCUUCCACCCAUACUUGGACAAGUUCGUGGUGGUGUACUUGGAUGACAUAGUCAUCUAUAGUAACACUCUAAAGGAGCAUGAAGAGUACUUGAGGAAGGUCUUUAAGAUCUUGAGGCAUAACAAGCUAUACGUGAAGAAGGAGAAGUGCUCGUUUGCUAAGAAGGAAGUGAGCUUCCUAGGGCAUCGCAUCAGAGAUGGCAAACUAAUGAUGGAUGAUAGCAAGGUGAAAGCCAUCCAGGAGUGGGAUCCACCAACCAAGGUACCUCAACUCAGAUCUUUCCUUGGUUUAGUUAAUUAUUACCGGCGGUUCAUAAAGAGUUAUUCGGGAAGGGCUGCUCCACUCACUAAUCUUCUUAAGAAGAAUAAGGCAUGGGAAUGGGAUGAAAGGUGCCAACAAGCCUUUGAGGACCUGAAGAAGGCUGUGACUGAAGAGCCAGUGUUGGCACUACCCGACCACACCAAGGUCUUUGAGGUACACACAGAUGCCUCAGACUUCGCUAUUGGGGGAGUCCUUAUGCAAGAAAGGCACCCAAUCGCAUUUGAGAGUCGCAAGCUAAACGACGCGGAGAGGCGUUACACGGUGCAAGAAAAGGAGAUGACCGCUAUCGUCCACUGCUUGCGCACUUGGAGGCACUAUCUGCUAGGGUCUCACUUCAUAGUGAAGACCGACAAUGUGGCCACUAGCUACUUCCAGACACAGAAGAAGUUGAGUCCUAAACAAGCUAGGUGGCAAGACUUCCUGGCCGAGUUCGACUAUACGCUGGAGUAUAAGCCAGGAACCGCUAAUCAUGUGGCCGAUGCCCUAAGCCGUAAAGCGGAAUUAGCAUCCAUGAUGAGUCAACCCCAAGGAGACAUAAUGGAUCUUUUAAGGGAGAGACUGCAACAUGAUCCAGUGGCCAAGAGCCUCAUCGCCCUGGCUCAUGAAGGGAAGACUAAGCGGUUUUGGGUGGAGGACGGCCUACUCUACACUAAGGGGAGACGACUCUACGUGCCUAAGUGGGGAAACAUAAGACGGAAUCUAAUUAAGGAGUGCCACGACACCAAGUGGGCUGGGCACCUAGGGCAACGACGCACGAGGGCAUUACUCGAGUCGGCUUACUAUUGGCCUCAAAUACGGGAUGAGGUUGAGGCCUACGUGAGAACUUGUCUUGUGUGUCAACAAGACAAGGUGGAGCAACGACAACCUAGAGGCCUGUUGGAACCAUUACCAAUAGCGGAGCGCCCAUGGGACAGCGUCACCAUGGACUUCAUCAUCGGGCUGCCCAAGUCAGAGGACAAUGGCUCUAUCAUAGUGGUAGUGGACAGGUUCUCUAAAUAUGCGACCUUCAUAGUAGCCCUUACUGACUGCACUGCGAAGGAGACGGCAAGACUAUUCUUAAAGCACGUAGUCAAGUACUGGGGAUUGCCUAAGUAUAUUAUCAGUGAUCGCGAUCCGCGUUUCACUGGGAAAUUUUGGACGGAGCUCUUCAAGCUUAUGGGUUCGGAGCUUCACUUCUCCACCAGCUUUCACCCACAGACAGAUGGGCAGACUGAGAGGGUGAACGCCUUGCUGGAGCUAUACUUGAGGCACUUUGUGAGUGCCAACCAGAGGGAUUGGGCUAAGUUGCUAGAUAUAGCCCAGUUCUCAUACAACUUGCAAAGGAGUGAGGCGACCAACAAGAGCCCGUUCGAGCUAGCCACAGGGCAGCAACCCUUAACUCCUCACACGCUAACGAUAGGCUACACGGGGAGAAGUCCAGCGGCUUUCAAGUUCGCGAAGGGGUGGCAUGAGCAAGCUGACAUAGCACGCUCGUACUUGGACAAGGCCGCUAAGAAAAUGAAGAAGUGGGCUGACAAAAAGCGACGUCACACGGAGUACAAGAUGGGAGACAUGGUGCUUGUCAAGCUCCUUCCUCAACAAUUCAAAUCCCUAAGGCCAGUGCAUAAGGGCCUUGUGAGGAGGUAUGAAGGACCCUUCCCUAUACUUGGAAAGGUCGGCAAGGUGUCCUACAAAGUGGAGUUAUCGCCAAGGUUAAAGAUUCACCCUGUCUUCCACGUGAGUUACUUGAAACCAUAUCACGAAGACAAGGAUGAUCCAAGCCAAGGGUUUUCUAAGAGGGCACCUACAGCGGUUGUGACCUCCUAUGACAAGGAGGUGGAACAAAUCAUUGCAGACCGAAUCAUCAGAAGGCGUGGUGUGCCUCCUGCUACGGAGUACUUAGUGAAAUGGAAGGGACUACCAGAAAGCGAGGCUAGUUGGGAGCCAGCAAAUGCACUAUGGCAGUUCCAGGAGCAGAUUGAGCGGUUCCGGGCAGAAGACGCGACGAGGACGUCUGCGACUUAGGUGGGGGAGAGUGUCACAAGAUGCUUCAAAUGACCCUCCCCAUGGCUUAUAUAGGAGGUGAGAAGCUUCUAGAGACCCUUGGAGACAUCCACACUUAGCCACUAGUGGGAAGAGUGUGGAAGGUUCUAGAAAUGCCUAGAGAAGUCCACACAACUCUACACUAUGGUAGAAGGCAUGAGAAGGGUCCAAAGCUUUCUAGAGAAAUCUAGAAGUCUCUUGUAUAUAGGCUUGUACAUAGAAUAGUGUAGGACAUUUUAGAAUAUUCAUGAAUUGUAAGGAACCCUCCAAGGUUCUAGAGAGUUCCAUUGGUGCCUAUAAAUAGGUGAGGGCCUCAUUUGGCCAAGGCACCAAACAAGUGAGCAUCUAAGCACUUGUAAAGGCUUUCUUGAGUUAAUAAGAGCUUCUAUUCUUUAAGGAGUUGCCUACUAAGCUCUUAAGCUUUCGAGUCGCGAGUGUCUUAGCCGAGCAAGCUAAGCGUUGGGGAUCAAGGCUGACUUAGCAAGAUCAAGCGUCUUGACUUGCCUAAGUGCAGCACGAGCUUAGUGAACGACUAAGUCCGUGACAUCUUGCUCUUUUCCUAUUUUCACUUAUAAAUGGAAAAUCAUUCCUCCAAACAUAGCUUUUUUUAUUACGUACGUAGAAGAUUAUUCUCCAAUUUUCUUACUACUUUAAUCUAUCUCAGAUCAGAUAAAAGAAUUGAAUCUCAUUUUCUAUGUAGAAGAGUUAAAAAAUGUAAGAUUAAAGAUAAGCAUGCAAUAGAACGGGAUCCACACUGUGAGUUAUUAUUAAUUUAUGUAAUUGUUUGGUAAACCAACUUAAUAACUUAAAAAGUGACUUAAUAACUUAAUUUAAGUCAUUAAAUAAAUUAAAUAUGUUUGAUAAAAUAACUUAAUGAUAUGAUUUAAUAUCAAAAACAAUUUUAAGUAAUAAGUAAAAAUAAUUAACUUAUUCUUAAGUCUACACCUUCAUUUUGUCUUUUUACCUUCAUUUAUCCUAAUUACCUUCAUGAUCUCUUUUGCUAUUCAACAACUUUUAUUAUUACUCAAUCUUCUUUGUAUUAAUUAUAAUUUAUGAAAAUAAAUAUGUCAAUUUAAUGAUUUAGAAUAAAUUUUAAGUUAAUUUUAUCAAGCAACCCUAGUACUUAAAGUAAGAAUUAAGUAAUUAGUUUUAAAUCAAUAAAUUAAGUAUAAUUUAUCUUAAAAUCAACUUAAAUUAUUAAAUAAUAAGUAUUAAGUUUUAACCAUAUAACUUUUCUAUAAAAUAUAAUAUAUAAAUAUUUAGUCUAUUAAUUUUAUUAAUUUUAUAUUUCAAGUAUAUAAUUUACAUUGUCCCUUUUCAAUACACACUACCUCAUGACAACUUGUUUGACAAGAAAGUUUAAAGUAUGUUAUCUUCUUUGUCAAACAAAUAUAGAGAUGGUGAAUGACUUGCCAGAGAGGGUCUUUGUGGUUACUGGUUAUUGAAUGUUUAAUGUUAUAUUCCAAGUUUGGAGUAUAUGGGUAGGCUAUAGGUAUGACAUGUGAUUGUUGUCAUCAAUGAUGUGUGUAGAGAAGUGGACAUGUGAGGGUGAGAUUGCUCAUAGCUUCUAUCCUGCAAGAUGUUUGAGAGGGGUAUUCUUUAUAUUCUUUCCCCCUAAGAUAAGAACAUACAUAUUUUUGAGUUAUUUGCAUUUAUAUACCUUCUUUUUUCUUGUACUUUUUCUUUAUACAAUUUGUACAUGAUUGACCAGCUAGUACUUUUGCUUAAUAUUUUAUCCUUUUGAGUAUAGAUUCCAAAACUAUUGUUAGACCAAGGGCCUGUUUGAUUGCUGUUUUUGAAAACUGUUUUGGAAAAUAGUUUUUGAGAAUAGUUUUUAAGAACAGUUUUUGAUGUUUUUAAAAAAAAAAUAAUGUUUGGGAACUGAAUUUUAAAAAACAGUUUUUGUUCUCAAAAACAAAAAAACAUGUUUGGUUCAGUUAAUAAAAAAAAAAAAUUUAGAACAAAUAAAACAAAAGACACGUUUGAAAGAUGUUUUUUUUUUUUCUUUUUUAAUUAAUAAAAUAUUUUCUUCAAGUAAUUUUAUAUUAUAAAUUUAUAAAUAAUUUUUAGAUAUAUAGUUCACUUAAAUUAAAAAAAUUAUUUAUUUUAUUAAUUUAAAAAUAAAAAUAUUUUUUAUAUUUUUUUAAAAUAAAUCAAACAUAAUAAAAUUAUUUUUAUUAAUAUUUUUUUAUUUAAUCUUUAACUUUAUUAAAAAUUAUAGCAUAUUCUAUUAAUUGAGAUAAAUUGUUCUCGUGAUUUGUAAUUUUUUUUUUAUCNNNNNNNNNNNNNNNNNNNNNNNNNNNNNNNNNNNNNNNNNNNNNNNNNNNNNNNNNNNNNNNNNNNNNNNNNNNNNNNNNNNNNNNNNNNNNNNNNNNNUCUGCCACUCUCAAUCCUCGCAGGUACUAAUCUAAUCAUGUUAUUAUUAUUAUUAUUUUUUUUUGCAACCCCCGUUUGAUUCCCAAGAAAAUCCAUCCCCCAUUCGAUUUCCGGGAAAAUUCAUCCUCGUUUGAUUUCCGAGAAAAUCCAAGCAAAAACCCCAAGGAAAACCAAAAAAAUGGAUUUUCUUUUGCUCCCUGUGUUUUCUUGAUCCGUUUUAGGGGUCUCUUUGCUAUUGUGCCAUUGGAUUUAAAUUUCACGAACCUUGAAUCAAGACUGAGACUGUGCUGGAGAAGAGAUGAGAACGGGAAGAAAAAAAAACACGGAGAACAGAUGGUUUUUUUUUGUUUAAUUUUGUUCUGUAAACAGUAAAAAAACGAGGAAAACAACAUUUUAUUAUUCUCUAAACAGUGCCAUUUUGAGAACACGGGAAACAACAAAAACAAAAACGAUCCUCUCAACCAAACGAGUUUUUUGUGUUUUUUGUUUUCAAGAACAGAAAACAGUUCUUGAAAACACUAAACAAACAGGCCCCAAGGGUAUGAUCUGAGAGUUUUGGGGAGUGAUUAUAUGAGGUUGGGAAUAUUUUCUAAUAUUUAAAAAAAAAAAUUCUUAUAAAUAUUUUUAUAGAUUUUAACAAUUAUUUUAAAAAAAUUUAAACUCACUUGAAAUGAUUCUUGAGAUAUAAUUUAAUGAAUAAUUAUUUUAGUAUGUAAAAUAUUAGGAUGAAUAGGGUUAAAAUUGUUAGUUUUUAUUUAGAUCCAAAUAUUAAGCAAUUUUCCAUAAAUGAUAUUUUAUUUAAGAUGAUUUAGUUCUUAAUUUUUUUUCUUAAAUAAGUGAUUGUUUUCUUCACUUAUCACUUUCUAAGGUAAUUUGUUAGUGCAAAAAAUAAUAAUUCUUUUAUUUUUGUCUAAAUUAAAAAGUCACCUUUUCCCUUGAGAGUUUGUAAAUACCUUGACCUAAAAUCUCUACAACCCCAUCCUAUUAAUACACCACCCCAAAAAUUCAAUUAAUACAAUACCCAGCUAAACCAAUUAAAGACCAAAUCCGAUUAGUACCCUCACACAACUAAACCUAAUAUACCAACACUACCAUCACCUCUUCCAUACCUUUUUUACCUUCUUUCAUCAUUCUUCUUCCCAAGAAAACAUUAGGUUAAAAAAUCUUUGUUCUUAAAGCUUCUUGGACACAAAGAGUAAGAUAUUGAGGUCAGUGCAAAGUUAAUUUCAAAUUUUCCACAUCAUUAAUGUAUUAUAUUUGGAAUCUACAAAUAAUAUUACGUUCUUUCCACAUGAAUAUAUUUAGGCUUAUUAUUUAUGUCAUUUUUGGUAAAUCUUUGCCAUGAAAAUAAUAAGGAACACAUUGAGGAUGAAUUCGGAGAUGAAUGGAGGAUGAAAAUUCGAAAAAAGGCGGGGAAAGAAAAAAAAAAAAAAACAAAAGGGGAGGAGAUCGUAGGCAUUAUUCAAAACCCUGACAACCCGUAGGCGAUAGAGCAUCAACUCCUUGUGGGACCAUUAAUGCUAUUUAGACCUAAAACAAUAAACCUUGACAAUCUAUCCUACAAUAAAGUAUUGGCUAAAAGAUAGUUGUCUUAACUCUUUGGGAUUGCACACCUUGGAGCCAUCCAACUUCUUGGUGUCGAACAUCUUAUAGUUAUCUAUCUCCUUGGAGUUGCACCCCUUGGAGUUGUAAGAAAUAGAGAAGAAUAGUAUGUAGAGAGAAUUUAAGUUUCUUCCGAAUUUUUUUUAGGAUUAUGAAGAGAGUAAAAGAAAAGAAAUGGAGGAAGGUGAGUGUGUACUCAGUUGUAAGGGCACUUUAGUCUUUGUAUUAGGGGUAUUUUGGUCCUUAAAAAAAGCAUAGUUGAGAUGGUGGGUAUAAAGAGAUUAGGUUGGGGCAUAAAUAAAUUCUCUAUUUUUUUUUUCAUAUUUUUCUCCUCUCAAUUAGUACUUUUCUCUUCUUGAUGCACAUUUCCAAUACCCAAUCGAGAUCAUUUUCUCUUAAGUAUCUACAAUAUUCAAAUACAAACCCUUCCACUUUGUGUUUCUUACGCUACUAUUUUCCACUAUUCACAUUCCUUUUAUAUCGUUAGUUAUCAGUCCAUUGUCAUUGCUCUCAUUAACUAAUAACAAUAUUGUUGUCAACUACCAUUCUAAAUCACAUUAAAAGAGAAAAUCUAUAUUAUUAAUGCUUAAAUAUAUAAACAUAUUAAAUGCUUAAAACAUUUACAAAACAAACAUAUCAUUUACAUACGACGUAUCAAUCAUUACAAUUGAUAUAUUCAAAUUUGAGAUUAAAAAAACAAAAAUAACAAUCAAGUGUCAUUCAAGGAUGCUUGAGCUGAAUUUUACUUUCUAAAUCCAAUUUCAAGUCCGAUCAUCAUAUUACUUCAUUAUAUGCCAAUUAGGUAAUGUAUUUAUUCUCCACUUAACUCAACUAUAUUUAUUUAAAAUAUCCCAAGAUAAAUUUUCUACAAUAUUGAGCCUUCACAAGAAAAUGUGCAGUCUUAAUACAGGAUAAAUGGAACAAAACUAAUAAAAAAUUUGACGCAUGAAUAUCAUAAUUUUUAACUAGAUUUAUUUGCAUAUUAAAAAAUAAUGAAGACCCUUCUUUUUUCUCAAACAUAUAAUUUAAAAAAAUAUAUAUUUUUAAUAUCAAAUCAUUUUUAUCAUACAAACGAGUCCUCCUAUUUCAAUUUUGGAAUAUCAAUACAAUACCAUUAAACUUUACAAAAUUACCAAGAAAUCACUGAUGCAGCAGAGAGCCCUUCUCAAUCUUUGAGAUCACAUAUUUUUGGAGGUUAUUUAUAUAGAAAAUUAAUUUUUAAAUUUUAGGUUCCACUUUCUUAGAAAAUUUUCCUCCUAACCGCUUUGGAGAACUUCAAAUUUUCCCAGAAUCUAAAUAAACCCCAGAAAUUGGUCUUUAAUAAUAUGGCCUCUCUUGUCCAAAUUUUUGGCUACUGAUGAUAACUGACCAUUUAUAGCCAUAAUUUUCCCAGAAAGUAAGAGAAAACUAAUGUCCAUGGGCAAGGAUGCAAAGUUGACUGAUGCAUUUCAUAGAUCAAAGGAUACAUAUUGAAAAACCAUUUUUCCAAGACAAGCGAAGCUGUUUCUAAGGAUCUUUAUUGUGGUAGAAAAUCACUAGGAAAAUUCAGUGUGAAAUUUACCAAACAGCUAGUUUGGCGACAAACUCAUCAAUGCAUUUAUCUGAACUUCCACCUUCAUCAACUGCUUCCCUGGCCAAAUUCUUCCAUUUCAUGGCAUUGUUUUUAAUCUCUUUUAAUCCAUCACUUCCCAUCACUUUCCCUAUGCAAUCCUCCAGGACUUCUCUUCUCACAAUCCCCUUGUGGUCCGCUCGAGCCCUUAAUCCUAUCCCCCAAACAUCUUCAACAAACUUGGCGUUGGUGGGUUGAUCAGUCCAUAGAGGGGCAACCACCAUUGGAACUCCCAGGCUGAGCGCCUCCAGAGUGGAGUUCCAACCGCCAUGGGUGAGGAAGCAUCCUAUGGCCCUGUGUGCUAAAACCUCCAGCUGGGGACACCAUGACACCACCAGGCCCUUUUCCGCUGUCUCCUCCUUGAAGUUUUGAGGCAGUUUGGCCUGCUCAGAUUCCCUGACCACCACCAAGAAGUAGGCAUUGCUCCUCCUCAAACCCCAAGCUACUUCCUCCAUUUGCUCCGGUUCUAGCACCGCGAAGCUCCCGUACGAGGCGUAAACAACAGAUCCAUUAGGCUUGCUGUCCAGCCAUUCCAUGCAGGCACCGGUGACUGGCUUGAGCAUGUUAAGGCCAUAGUCUUUGUCAUCUCCAAGCCGUUUAUCUAAGUAAACCGAGGGAAGGGUUGGGCCGAUUGUCCUGAGCGGACAGAUCUUCGCCAUCCAAUCCACCACCUGGGAAUUCAAUGACAACCUUAGAUUAACGAAAGAGUAUCAAAUACUUAAUUUGACCCAAAAGAUUAAGAAUUGAUUUUAGGAAGAAUUUGUAACUUUUUUACCACUUAAAUUUUUUUAUUAAAAGAUUACUUUUUAAGUGUUGAAAAAAUUGAAACGUUUCUUAGAAUUAAUGUAAAACAAGCUCUAAGUCAUUAACUAUCAGCUCAAUUCAAACAGAAUUUUUCCUUGGAAAAGGGUGCUUUGUUACCCUGAUAAACAUUUUAUUUGACCCAAAAAAGAACCUAUUAUGUGAUGAGUCAAUAAAUGUCUCAACCUAAAAGCUCCUAGUUCUAACAUAGUCCUAUGUCUUUUUUAACCUAAGUUGUUAUAUGAUAAGUACUCAACAAUGUACAUGGAGCCAAAUUAGCGUGAAGUACCUUACCUUUUCCUCUAACUUGUAGAAGGUGUUGCAGAACACCCAGUCUACCUUCUCAAUAUUGGAGAACUGAUUGACAACCAUGUCGAAGAAAGCUGGGUAGGACCCGUAAAGAUAAACAAAAGAUGGCAGGUCGCAGGCUUGAAGAGGGAACAGUCCAGGAACCACAACUUCAGGCUCUGAAAGAGGAAGCUUGAGCAUACCCUGGUGGACAUGGUAGUAUAUGUCGUUGACUGUACAAGACUGAGUGAAAAACACAGCCCCCACAAGCCCUAACUGCUUGGCAACAUCAAGAGCCCAAGGCAAGAAUGCAUCAUACACAACACAAUCAACUGGACACCCUGAGCUUUUGAGCUUCUCAAUGAGGCUGCCCAGGGUUUCUGAGCCAACCACCCGAAACCGCUCCAAGUAGGCGCCGUCACUCUCCGCUUGGGCGGAGCCGCCUUCAUCAUAGCCAUCAGAGAUGGUCUCAAUGGUGAUGGGACCGGAGUCUCCAACGAAGGACUUGGAGAUGAAGCGUGUAGCAGCUAGUGUGACUUUGGCCCCAUUGUGCACCAAACGCUUGGAGAAUUGGAGCAUAGGGUUUAUGUGGCCUUGGCUUGGAUAUGGGAGGACUAUGCAGUGGGCUUUGUGGGUUCUCUUUUCCUUCUCCAUAUUCCUUCAAAUCUUCACACGCUCUUGAGCUCUUGCGCUCUUCCUGUUUUCACUUAUAAACGGAAAAUCCCUCCAACCGUAGCAUGUUUUUUUCCUAAUAAAAGAAUUGAAUCUCAUUGUCUACUCAGAAGAGUUAAAAAUGAAAGAUCAAAGAUAAGCAUACAAUAGAAUGAGACCCACACUAGAGUUAUUAAUAAUUUAUAGGUACAACUUUUCCAUAAAACACAACAUAAAAAUAUUUAGUAUAUUAAUUUCCUAUUCCAACUACAUAAUUUAAAGUGUUCAUAUUCGAUACAAACACUACCUUGUGACAACUUGCUUGACAAGAAAGUGUGAACUAUGUCAUCUUCUUUAUUAAACAAAUAUGAAGAUGGUGAAACCAAAAAAGGGCUGUGACUUGUGAGAGGGGUCUUGUGGUUACUGGUUAUUGAAUGUUUGUUGGUUUAUUACCAAUUUUAUUAAUUAACAAGUUUGGAGUGUAUAGGUGGGCUGUUGGCAUUACAUGUGAUUGUUGUCAUCUAUGAUGUGUGUAGAGAAGUGGACAUAUGAGGGUGAGAUUGCUCAUUGCUUCUAUCUUCCAAGAUGUCCAAUCUAUGCUGCAUACUAUUUUGAAAGGCUAUUCUUUAUAUUCUUACCCCCUAAGAUAAGAAUAAACAUAUUUUUGAGUUGAUUGCAUUUAUAUUCCUUCUUUUUUCCUUGUACUUUUUCUUUAUAUAUAAUAUGUACAAUGACUAGUACUUUGGCUUAUUAUUUUGUCCUUUUUUGCAAGUGGGGAGGAUAUAUUGCACAACUAUUGGUAGACCAAGAGUAUGAUUUGGCAGUUAUGGGGAUUGAUUAUAUGAGAUUGGGAAGAUUUUCUAAUAUUUGAAAAAGUUUUUCUUAUAAAUAUCUUGAUAAAUUUUAAAAAUCAUUUUUAAAAUUUAAAAACUCACUUGAAGUGAUUCUUAAACUAUGAUUUAAUGAAUAUUUAUUUUAGUAAUUUUAUUUAGUAAAAUGUUACAAGGAAUAUUAUUAAAAUUGUUAGUUUGUGUUUAUAUCCAAAUAUUAACCAAUUUUCCAUAAAUGAUAUUUAAUUUAAGGUGAUUUAGUUUUUUUUUCUUUUCUUAAAUAAGUGCUUGUUUUCUUCACUUUUCACUUUUUAACGUAAUUUUGUUAGUGAAAAAUAAUAAUAAUUCUUUUACUUUUGUCUAAAUUUAAAAAGUCACCUUUUUCCUUUAGAGUUUGUAAAUACCUUGACCUAAAAUCUUUACAACCCUAUCCUAUUAAUACACCCGUCCUAAAAAUCCUAUUAAUAUACUACCUAAUUAACUAAACCAAAGACCAAAUCCUAUUAAUACCCUCACCCAACUAAACCUAGUAUACCUACACUACCAUCUCCUCUUUUGAUUUCUUUCAUCAUUCUUCUUCUUCUUAUGAAAGCGUUAGCUUAAAAAUCUUUUUCUUAAAGCUUCUAAGACAAAGACUAAAGUAUUGAGGUAAGUUCAGAGUUAAUUCCAAAUUUUUCACAUCAUCAAUGUAUUAUAUUGGGAGUCUACAAAUAAUAUUAGGUUCUCUGCACAUGAAUAUAUUUAGGCUUAUCAUUUAUGUUAUUUUUAGUAAAUUUUUAUCGUGAAAGUACUUGGGAAGAAAUUGAUGAGGAUGAAUUUGGAGAUGAAUGGGGGGGAGCAAAGGGGGAGGAGAUCAUUAGCGUUAUUCAAAAUCCUGACAGCCCACAAGCAAUAAAACAUCGACUCCUUAGGGGACCAUCAACACUAUUUAGACCUAAAACGAUAAACCUCAACUAUCUAUCCUACAAUAGAGUAUUGGCUAAAAGAUAGUUGUCUAGCUCCUUGGCAUUGCACACCUUGGAGCCAUCCAACUCCUUAGUGUUGAACGUCCUAUAGUCAUAUAUCAUCUUGGAGUUGCACCCCUUGGAGUUGUCAAAAAUAGAGAAGAAUAGUAUGCAGAGAGAAGAACUUAAGCUUCUUCCGAAAUUUCUUUAAGGUUAUAAAGAGACUAAAAGAGAAUAAAUGGAGGAAGGUGAGUGUGUGCUGAAUUGCAAGGGUACUUUAGUCUUUGUAUUAGGGGUAUUUUGGUCCUUAAAAAGAGCAUAGUUGAGAUGGGUAGGUGUUUAAGUUGGGGCAUUUAUAAAUUCUCUAUUUUUCUUUUUUCUUUUUUUCAUAUUUUGCUCCUCUCAAUUAGUACUUUUGUCUUCUCGAAGCACAUAUUUCCCAUACCCAAUUGAGAUACUUUUCUCUUCUCAAGUAUUUGUAAUAUUCAAAUACAAACCCUUCCACUUUGUGCUUCUUAUGCUACUUAUGUUUUCCACUACUCACAUUCUUCUUGUAUCAUUAGUUUUCGAUCCAUUGUCUAGCCAAGAACAAUAUUGUUGUCAACUACCAUUCUAAAUCACCUUCAAAAGGGAAAUUUAUAUUAUUAAUAUUUAAAUAUAUAAACAUAUUAAAUGCUUAAAACAUUAACAAAACAAACAUAUCAUUUACAUAUGACUAAUCAAUCAUUGCAGUUGAUAUAUUUAAAUUUGAGAUUGAAAAAACAAAAAUAACAAUUAAGUAUCAUUUAAGGAUGGUUGGGCCGAAUUUUAGUUUAUAAAUCCAAUUUCAAGUCCAUUAAUCAUCAUAUCACUCCAUUAUAUGCCAAUUAGGUAACCUAAUUAUUCCCCAAUUAUCAUAACUAUAUUUAUUUAAACUAUCCCAAGAUAAAUUUUCUACAAUCUUGAGUCUUCACAAGAAAAUAUGUAAAGUCUUAGUACAUGGUGAAUGAAACAAAACUAACCAAAAAUUUGACUCAUGAAUGUCAUAAUUUUUAACUAGAUUUAUUUGCAUAUUAAAAAAUAAUGAAGACCCUUCUUUUAUCUCAAACAUAUAUUUUUUUAAUAAAAUAUUUUUAAUAUCAAAUUAUUUUUAUUUUACAAACGAGUCCUCAUAUUUCAAUUUUGGAAUAUCUAAUACUACACCAUUAAACUUUACAAAAUUAACAAGAAAUCACCGAUGCAGUAGAGAGCCUUCUCAAUCUUUGAGAUCACAUGUUCUUCCUCAUAUUUUUGGAGGAUAUUUAUAUAGAAAAAUAAUUUUUAAAUUUUAGGUUCCACUUUCUUAGAAAAUUUUCCUCCUAACCGCUUUGGAGCACUUCAAAUUUUCCCAGAAUCUAAAUAAAUCCCAGAAAUUGGUUCUUAGUAAUAUGGCUUCUCUUGUCCAAAUUUUUGGCUAAUGAUGAUAACUGACUAUUUAUAUCCAUAAUUUUCCCAGAAAGUAAGAGAAAAUUAAUAUCCAUGGGCAGGGUUGCAAAGUUGACAAAAAUAGAAAAUAUGAUACAUUUUCAUAGAUCGAAGGAUACAUAUUGAAAAUUUUCUAACGAUCUUUAUUGUGGUAGAAAAUCACUAGGCAAAUUCAGUGUGAAAGUUACCAAACAGCUAGUUUGGCAACAAACUCAUCAAUGCAUUUAUCUGAACUUCCACCUUCAUCAACACUUCCCAUCACUUUCCCUAUGCAAUCCUCCAGGACUUCUCUUCUCACAAUCCCCUUAUCGUCCGCUCGAGCCCUUAAUCCUAUCCCCCAAACAUCUUCAACAAAUUUGGCGUUGGUGGGUUGAUCAGUCCAUACAGGGGCAACCACCAUUGGAACUCCCAAGCUGAGCGCCUCCAGAGUGGAGUUCCAACCGCCAUUAGUGAGGAAGCAUCCUAUCGCCCUGUGUGCUAAAACCUCCAGCUGGGGACACCAUGACACCACCAGGCCCUUUUCCACUGUCUCUUCCUUGAAGUUUUGAGGCAGUUUGGCUUGCUGAGAUUCCCCGACCACCGUUAAGAAGUAGGCAUUGCUCCUCCUCAAACCCCAAGCUACUUCCUCCAUGUGCUCGGGUUCUAGCUCCGCAAAGCUCCCAUAUGAGGCUAAGCUAUCCAUUUUGUCCCUUUAGCACAUAUCUUUAAGUUCACUUCCAGUGUUCCACAGUGUUCCUUUGAUGACCCAUUACUACUCGUGUAGCUUACCUUUUUUGAGCCACUUUAGAGACUUUGGUUGAAAGAUUAUGACAUUGGCUGCCUUUCAAGUUUAAAUUAGGCUUCACUUAGGUGCACUUUAGGUUAAACUUAAUUAGGCCCACCUACCCUUACCCUACGCCUAUUUAGGUAUACUUAACCCAUUAGACACUACCUUAGGAUCAUCUAGGCACACUGAACCCCGCUUAGGCCCACUUAGAUAUUUCAUUGGGUUUAACUUUUUAUAUGAUCUUUUUAUUAUUAUUGCAAACAUUUGAUAAUCAUAUUUAUUUUGUUUAUUUACUUAUUCUUAUUUUUUAAUUAUUGAUUUAUUUAUUUUUUCAUUUACUUAUUUAAUAAAAAAUUACUUGAAUUGUUUAGACUUUAAAUAUGCGCGGCCCCUAAUUGAAUUAUGGAAUUAUAUAAUUUGGUCUCUUUUUUUCUUUUUCUUUCCUUUUAAUCAUCUUAUAUUUUAUUAUCCAUCUCAUAAUUUUCAUUAGUUAAUUUCUUCUUUUUUCUUUUACCUUUUUAAUUUUAUUUUAUUUUAUUAUGUCUUGCAUGAGGAGAAAAAUUGCAUGGAAGUUUUUUUAUUGGGGAGAUUAUGAGCAAGGCAAAGGCGUACAUGCAGCAAGGAGGAUAUGAGAAAGCCAUCUGCAGGAUAUUUUCGUAAAACAUUAGUUGGGCACUUAUAUCCAUCUAUCCAUUUCUAGUGUGCGUCACAGCAUCACGUGACUACCAUGCUUUGGUUCCAGAGGGUACCACGCAGGCAUUUAUAGGAUGAGCAGGGUGACGUCACAGGAAAUCAUCAUUUUUUGGGUUCUGGAGUAUUUAGGAGAUUGGGGAGGAGAGGGAGGACAGGUGGCAACAUUAUCAGGGGAUUCACGAGUUCUCAGAUUCUCAAUUUGGACAUGUUUUUGCAUUUGGAGAAUCCGGAGCCUUAGCUAUUGCAAAUAUGGUUCUUAGAUUGAAGGAAAUUCGUACAAAUGUUGAUUACACAAUAGAUCUUUUACAUGCUUGUGGUUGGACAGUAGAAUUGCUAUGCGGGUUAGAGCAGAAAGGCCCCCUUGGUUCUUUCUGUGGUUGGAGGGGCUCUUUACAAAGCAUCUGCUAGCAGUGCAGCAAUGGUUUCAGAUUAUGUCGGUUAUCUUGAAAAUGGGGCAAAUCCCUCCCAACCAUAUAUCUUGUCAACUCUCAAGUUUCUUUGAACAUCGAAGGAAGCAAGUACACGAUUGACAUGGUAAGGGGAGGACCAGGAAGCUAUAGACUCAGGAUGAAUGAGUCGGAGAUAGAAUCAGAGAUACACACAUUACGUGAUGGUGGAAAUAGUCAUAUUAUCUAUGCCGAGGAAGAAGCAGCUGGAACUCGCCUUCUCAUUGGUGGGAGGACUUGCUUGCUUCAGAAUGAUCAUGAUCCAUCUAAGUUAGUCGCAGAGACACCAUGCAAGCUGCUACGGCACUUGUUGAUGCUGACACACCGUAUGCAGAGGUUGAGGUUAUGAAGAUGUGUNNNNNNNNNNNNNNNNNNNNNNNNNNNNNNNNNNNNNNNNNNNNNNNNNNNNNNNNNNNNNNNNNNNNNNNNNNNNNNNNNNNNNNNNNNNNNNNNNNNNNNNNNNNNNNNNNNNNNNNNNNNNNNNNNNNNNNNNNNNNNNNNNNNNNNNNNNNNNNNNNNNNNNNNNNNNNNNNNNNNNNNNNNNNNNNNNNNNNNAAUCAAAGUUUGUGGUCCCAAAUAAAUAGGAUAAUUAUAGGCUAAAUUCGUGUAUAUCAAUUUGGGGAAUUGUGUGAAACCCCUACAUAAGAAAAUCUUUUCAAAACUUAUUUUUGCUACUACCUUUGCCACUUGUUGUAACCAUAUUUACACAUUUGUUAGGAAUGAUAUAAUUAUUGAUUAUUUCGUAUACUCUGGUCGUUUUGCUAUACUAAUUAGAUAAGCAUGUUAGGAUUUCUUAUUUUAUUAUUUAUUAUUUAACCCCCUAUGUCCUGAAGAAGCGUAUUAUGAGUUGUCUAUGCUAUCCAGGUACGCCUCCUAACACCCACCUUCUAAAUUCUGUAAAUAUGAUUGUCAUUGUGAACUAUGCCUAUGUUUUAUAGUGGUUGGGUGUCUUGAUAUUUGUUACAUUGUUCGAUUAUUUAUGGUAAAGUGCAUGCUAGGUGAUAUACUAUUUAAACUAACCUUUGAUGUUUUGUGAUAGCGCUUAAGAAGUGGUCCAAGUACACACCCUAAAUCUUCUUUAUGAUUUGUGAUUGGUUUUCUUGUUUAUCAUGCUAUUUUUCAAAAUCACCUAGCCUACCUAGGUAUCUAUAAUUAACCAAUUAAUUGNNNNNNNNNNNNNNNNNNNNNNNNNNNNNNNNNNNNNNNNNNNNNNNNNNNNNNNNNNNNNNNNNNNNNNNNNNNNNNNNNNNNNNNNNNNNNNNNNNNNUUGUUUUUAGUCUAAAUGCAUUUGUUGAUUUUAAUUCAUCAGUUUAAAUAAUCUUAUUAGAUAGAGUUUAAUUUCAAUUUAGUUUAAAUUUAAUUUAUUUUAUAAUUUGAAUGUGUUUAUGAUUUUAAUUCAAUUGUUUGAUUAAUCCUCUUAAAUAAAUUCCAUAUUUUUAAUUCUCAUUUUAGUUUAGUUUUAAUUUGCUGAUUUAUUUAUUUGUUUUAGUUUAAAUGUAUUUGCAAUUUCAAUUUGAUAGUUUAGCCAAUCUUAUUAGAUAGUGUUGAUGUUUUUAAUUCUAAUUUAAUCCAGUAUUAGUUAUUUUUAGUUUGAAUGUGUUUGUGCGUUUUUUAUUUCGUUAAUUUUGAUUUUAAUCCAUUUAUAUCCAAUUUUGUAGUUGAUUAUAAUUUUAGUUAAUUAAUUUAGUUAAUCGCGUGUUAUUUUUUUCAUGUCUUAAGUAUGGUAAUUUUAAUUUUGAUCCAUCAAUAUUUAGUUUUAGUGUUUUUAGAGUUUUGGUUAAUUAAUUUAGUCAAUCACAUGUUAUUAUUUUCAUAUUUUGAGUAUGGCAUAUUUUGGUAGUGAUCUAUUAAUAUUUAAUUUGAGUUUUCAGGAAUUUUAAAUAAUCAAUCUAGUUAAUUGCAUAUUAUUGUUUUUCAUAUUUUUAAGAUUGCUAAAUUUUGUUUUUUUUAUUUAUCAUAUUUUGUUAGGAUACUAAUUUACUUUAAUUAAUCCCACAUUAUUGUCUCCAUAUGCUAAGUUUGUUGACUCUAAUCUUUGAUUGUUUUUAUUUUAUUUUAAUUCAUGUGUUUCCUGAAAUCUAGAUGUUAGUCUUGGAUAAUAUUUUUGUUAGUUUGUUUGAUUAGGAAAUCAUAAAUUUGUUGCCUUAGUGAUUGUUGGUCAAAUCCUUUUUUUCCGAACGCCAUUGGAAAACCAUGAAGUUGGCCCUACUCUCACCAGUUUAAUUGGCAUGAUUGUCUAAAUCUUUAUUUUGUGAUUGUCGUUUUCUUUUGUUUUGGUUGGUAUUUUGUUUUCUAUGUUUUGUUAUUUUAAAAAUUAAUUUCUUUUAUUUUAAAACAAAACACUUUUUCUCAAAAGAUCCCUUUAAAGAAAUCUAUUUUAAAAAGUAAAUUCAUUUAGAGUCUUUAGAAUCAAAAUCCUUUUUUAAAAAAAUAAUAUGCAACCAUAUCUUGAUCUGUUCACAUCCUUCUCAGUUUUCAAUAAAAAUUUUGGUUUUGAACAAAACACGAAUCAAAGUUUGUGGUCCCAAAUAAAUAGGAUAAUUCUAGGCUAAAUUCGUGUAUAUCAAUUUGGGGAAUUGGUGAAACCCCUACAUAAGAAAAUCUUUUCAAAACUUAUUUUUGCUACUACCUUUGCCACUUGUUGUAACCAUAUUUACACAUUUGUUAGGAAUGAUAUAAUUAUUGAUUAUUUCGUAUACUCUAGUCGUUUUGCUAUACUAAUUAGAUAAGCAUGUUAGGAUUUCUUAUUUUAUUAUUUAUUAUUUAACCCCCUAUGUCCUGAAGAAGCGUAUUAUGAGUUGUUUAUGCUAUCCAGGUACGCCUCCUAACACCCACCUUCUAAAUUCUGUAAAUAUGAUUGUCAUUGUGAACUAUGCCUAUGUUUUAUAGUGGUUGGGUGUCUUGAUAUUUGUUACAUUGUUCGAUUAUUUAUGGUAAAGUGCAUGCUAGGUGAUAUACUAUUUAAACUAACCUUUGAUGUUUUGUGAUAGCGCUUAAGAAGUGGUCCAAGUACACACCCUAAAUCUUCUUUAUGAUUUGUAAUUGGUUUUCUUAUUUAUCAUGCUAUUUUUCAAAAUCACCUAGCCUACCUAGGUAUUUAUUAUUAACCAAUUAAUUGUCACAUUUCCCUCAACUUAGUUAGUAAAGACCUUUAUAGGGCUUAAAGGGGUGCUACCUUUUAGAGAUACCUUCCCAAUAGGUAACCUAAUCCCCGGACCUAGACUUAUGUUUUUCAAAGAUACGCUUUUCCAAAAACUAUGGAGUCACUUUUUUUAGGGUUUUCUUUCUUGUUUUAUUUUCCCUUUUAAAAUAAAAUAAAAUAAGUGACAACUCCGACUUUUCUAAAAUUAAUUUUUCACAAAUAAAAGCAAGUUUCGCCGAUUGAGUGGAGACGCGCGUGAAAAAUACAAGUCCAUAGAGGCGUAAACAACAGAUCCAGUAGGCUUGUUGUCCAGCCAUUCCAUGCAAGCACCAGUGAUUGGCUUAAGAAUGUUAAGGCCAUAGUCUUUGUCAUCUCCUAGCAGUUUAUCUAAGUAAGCAGAGGGAAGGGUUGGGUCGAUCGUCCUGAGCAGACAGAUCUUCACCAUCCAAUCCACCACUUGGGACUUCAAUGACAAACUUAGAUUAACAAAAGAGUACCAUACGCUUAAUUUGACCCAAAAGAUUAAAAAUCCAUUUGAUAGUAAUUUUAGGAAGUAUUUGUAACUUUUUUAGCACUUAAAAUUUGUUAUCAAAAGAUUACUUUCAAAUGCUAAAAAGAUUGAAAAAGCUCCUUAGAAUUAGUAUCAAACAAGUCUAAGUUAUUAGCUGUAAGGUCAACUCAAUUAGGAUUUAUCAUUGGAAAAGAGCACUUUGUUACCCUGAUAAACGUUUUAUUUAACCCAAAAGAGAAACUAUUAAGUGAUGAAUCAUUUAAUGUCUCAACCUAAAAAGCUCCCACUAAAGCAUGACUUUUUCUUUCUAACAUAGUGUUAUGUCUUUUCUAACUGAAAGGUUAAGUUAUUAGAUAAUAAGUACUCGAGAAUGUAUAUCGAGCCAACUUAGGGUAAAGUACCUUACCUUUUCCUCUAACUUGUAGAAGGUGUUGUAGAACACCCAGUCUACCUUCUCAAUAUUGGAGAACUGAUUCACAACCAUGUCGAAAGAAAGCUGGGUAGGACUCGUAAAGAUAAACAAAAGAUGGCAGGUCACAGGCUUGAAGAGGGAACAAUCCAGGAACCACAACUUUAAGCUUUGAAAGAGGAAGCUUGAGCAUACCCUAGUGGACAUAGUAGUAUAUGUUGUUAACUGUACAAGACUGAGUGAAAAACAAAGUGCGAACCCACAUUUUUCACAUGCGCUCCUACUCGAUCGACGAGACUCGUUUUUUAUUUGUGAAAAAAUUGUUUUGGAAAAGUCAAAGUCGCCACUUAUUUUAUUUUAUUUUAAAGGAAAAAUAAAACAAGAAAUAAAACCCUAAAAAAAGUGACUCCAUAUUUUUUGGAAAAAUAUGUCUUUAAAAAACCCGAGUCUUGGUCUGGGGAUUAGGUUACCUAUUGGGAAGAUACCUCUAAAAGGUAGCACCCCUCUAAGCCCUAUAAAGGUCUCUACUGACUAAGUUGAAGGAAAUGUAGCAAUUAAUUGAUUAAUUAUAGGAAUCUAAGUAUGCAAGGUGAUUUCAAAAAUUACAUGCCUAACAAGAAAACCAAUCACAAUCAUAACGAAGAUUUAGGGUGCAUACCUGGACUGCUUCUUAAGCGCUAUCACAAAACAUCAAAGGUUAGUUUAAAUAGUAUACCACCCCAGCAUGCACUUUAUCAUAAAUGAUCAAACAAUGUAACAAAUAUCAAGACACCCAAGCAUUAUAAAACAUAGGCAUAGUUCACAAUGACAAUCAUAUUACAGCAUUUAGAAGGUAGGUGAUAGGGGAACGUACCUAGAUAACAUAGAUAACUCAUAAUACGCUUCCUCAGGACACGGGGGUUAGAUAAUAAGUAACAAAAUAAGAAACCCUAACAUGCUUAUCUGAUUAGUAUAGCAAAACAAUCAGAGUAUACGAAAUAAUCAAUUAUCACUUAUAUUGGGUGCAUAAUUCCUAAAAAUAGAUAAACGUGAUUUUAAUAAGUAUCAAAGGUGAUAGCAAAAAUAAGUUUUGAAAAGAUUUUCUUAUAUAGGGGUUUCACUAAUUCCCCAAUCAAUGUACACAAAUCUAGCCUAGAAUCAUCCCAUUUAUUUGGGACCACAAGUUUUGAUUCGUGUUUGAUUCAAAACCGAAAUUUUCAUUGAAAACUGAAGGAUGUGAACCGAUCAAAACAUUGUUGCAUAUUAUUUUAAGAAAGUGAGAUUUUUUAUUCUAAGGACUCUAAAUGAAUUUUCGAAAUGUACUUUAAGGAAGAACAUUUUGAGAAAAGGUUUCUUUUAAAAAAAAAUGAAAGGAUAAUUUGUAAAGGGCAAUAUUCAAGCAUCAAACAUGGGCAACCCAAAAGAAAACAAAAUCACAAAAGAAAAGUUUUAGAAACCAAACCGACUAAAGUGGUGAGAGUAGGGUCAACCUUCAUGGGUUUCCAGUGGCCUUCAAAAAAAGGAUUUAACCAACAAUCACUAAGGCAACAAACUAAUAAUUUCCAAAUCAAACAAGCUAUCAAAAUAUUAUCCAAGGCUAACAUCUAGAUUUCAAGAAACAUAUGAAUUAGGAUAAAAACCAAUCAAGGAUUAAAGCCAACAAACUUAACAUAUGGAGACAAUAAUGUGGGAUUGAUUAAAGCAAAUUAGUAUACUAACAAAAUAUGAUAAAUAAAUAAAAACAAAAUUUAGCAAUCUUAAAAAUAUGAAAAACAAUAACAUGCAAUUAACUAGAUUGAUUAUCUAAAAUUCCCGAAAACUCAAACUAAAUAUUAAUAGAUCAAUACCAAAAUAUGUCAUACUCAAAAUAUGAAAAUAAUAACAUGUGAUUGACUAAAUUAAUUAACCAAAACUCUAAAAACACUAUACCUAAAUAUUGAUGGAUCAAAAUUAAAAUUAUCAUACUUAAUACAUGAAAAUAAUAACACGUGAUUAACUAAAUUAAUUAACUAAAAUUAUAAUCAACUACAAAAUUGGAUAUAAAUGGAUUAACAUCAAUAUUAACAAAAUAAAAAACGCACAAACACAUUCAAACUAAAAAAAAAAAAUUAAUACUAGAUUAAAUUAGAAUUAAAAACAUCAACAUCAUCUAAUAAAAUUGGCUAAACUAUCAAAUUGAAAUUGCAAAUAUAUUUAAACUAGAACAAAUAAAUAAAUCAAUAAAUUAAAACUAAACUAAAAUCGAAAUUAAAACAAAAAAAAAAAACAUGAAAUUUAUCUAAGAGGUUUGGUCAAACAAUUGAAUUAAAAUAAUAACCGCAUUCAAAUUAUAGAAUAAAUUAAAAUUAAACUAAAUUGAAAUUAAACUCUAUCUAAUAAGAUUAUUUAAACAAAUGAAUUAAAAUCAAAAAAUGCAUUUAGACUAAAAACAUAUUAAAACCAAACUAACUAGAAUUAAAACACAAACUUUAUUUGACACGAUUAUUUAAACUAAUGAAUUAAGAUCAGUAAAUGCAUUUAAACUAAAAACAAAUUAAAAUUAAACUAACUAGAAUUAAAAACACAAACUUUAUUUGAUAUGAUUAUUUAAACUAAAGAAUUAAGAUCAACAAAUACAUUUAAACUAAAAACAAAUUAAAACUAAACAAGCUAGAAUUAAAAACGCAAACUUUAUUUAAACUAUCAUAUAGAUUAAAAUAAACUAGCAUGGGACUAAUGAACUACAAUCACCAAAAAAAAAAAAAAAGAUGUCUGAUUUAAGAAAAAUGAAAAAUUGUACGAAAGAAUUAAUUAAACUAAUGAACUAAAAUCUAAAUUGAUUUAAAAGAAUUUAUCACAAAGAAUUAAUUAAACUAAUGAACUAAAAUCUAAAUUAAAAAAAAAAAAUGUUCUAUCGAAAAUGAAAACUAACCUGUGUCCCAAAAAAAAGAAAAAUACUCUCUUGAUGCGUCAAAGUGGCAGCCCGAUCCUUGUUCGAAGUCCCCUGCUCUCCUCAAAAACUCCUGUGCGUGUACUUUAAAAAAAAUUGCUCGUGUGUGGAUCUCUGUCAAAAAUUCCUCCUCUGCCCGUUCCUCUGUCCUCUUUGCCAAAAUUCCUCCGCGUGUUCUCUCUGCCAAAAUUCCCGCGCGUGUCCUCUCCCUCAGAAAAUGAUCUCCUCCAAAAAAUCUUAUUAUGGCCUGAUGUGUGUGCUACUCUUCCAUGAAUGACAGUCGUAUGUGGUACUCUAUGGAAUGCGUAGGCUGCUAAAAAAAGCUUCCUGCCAGUUUUUGGUCUGGCUGCCUUGGAGAGUUCCUAAUGGAUAUGUGUGUGCUUUCUUUCAAAGGUAGUCCUCCUCUCUCAUGUUAGAGAAAAAAGUCUCUUUAUGAACUGUGUGAUCCCCCUCAAAAGCUUCCUCUUUUGGGUCUUUUAAAACUCUCCCCGCCGUAUGGUAGGUGUAUCUCCACCAAUUGCAGCCCAUGUCUCGGAUUAGGGAAAGUGGACUGUGUCUUUCCUUUUUAAAAAUGUGAAAAAGUCCCCCAUUAGUAGCGUGUGAUUCCCUCAGAGAAUGCGUGGAGAUCCAUUCCUUUUUUGGUGUGUCCAGUGUUUGGUGUGUCCUUGCGGAAGUUUGGGCAUUUUUCCGACAUGGUCCGUGUAUUUCUUCAAUGGAAUGUAUUGAUUCUUCAAUGGAGUUGAUGGCAGUUUGCGUGCUAAUGAUCCUUAGUAGUGCAUGUUGAUUUUCCUUGAUGAUGGAUGUUGAUUGUGUGUACUCAGAUGAAGAUGCAGGAGACAUGGAUGAUGUAUUGGAGGUUUAUUGUUGAUGCGUACGUGGCUAUGGAUAUGUUGAAGACUGAUUCAAAGUGGUUGUUGGCAUAUUCCUAUUCUUAUGGUUGAGUUAGUCAAAUAAGGAGCUUGUUGCUAAAAUCGAGUUAGUGGGUGUAGUGGGUCAAGUGUUAGUGGUGUAGUGGGGCAGAUUGUGUCCUCUUUGUUUUUUUUUAUAAAUAGACAUGUUUGCUGUAGUGGAAUUAAUGACUGCAAUAAAAUAUCCAGAAGCAUUUUCUUUGGUCUGGUGAAGCUCUGUUUUUUAGAGUUAAAGAGCUCUAUUUUUUUUCUUGCUAUUGUUUUGUCUUGUUUUUGUCCAACAAUUUUUGGUAUCAGAGCAACCAGGUUCCUUCUGAAUUGGGCGAAUAAUGGCAACAACCAACGGCAGUAUGGUGAGUGUGUCUCAACCAGCAAUUCCCAUUUUCAAAGGUGAGUGCUAUGAGUUUUGGAGCAUCAAAAUGAAGACUUUAUUCAAGUCUCAAGAUCUGUGGGACUUGGUUGAAAAUGGCUAUCCUUAUCCGGACGAAGAAGCUAGGUUGAAAGAAAAUACGAAGAAGGACUCCAAGGCAUUGUUCUUUAUUCAACAGGCUGUACAUGAAUCAAUCUUCUCAAAGAUUGCAGCAGCAACCACAGCAAAAGAGGCGUGGACAACCUUGAAAACUGCAUUUCAGGGUUCCUCUAAAGUGAUCACGGUGAAGCUCCAGUCCUUGCGCCGUGACUUUGAAACCUUGCACAUGAAAAAUGGAGAGUCAGUUCAAGAUUUUUUGUCAAGAGUUGCUGCUAUAGUUAAUCAAAUGAGGUCGUAUGGUGAAGAUAUUCAUGAUCAAACUGUCGUAGCAAAGGUGUUAAGGAGUUUAACGCCUAAGUUUGAUCAUGUAGUUGCAGCCAUUGAGGAGUCUAAGGAUCUGUCAACCUAUUCAUUUGAUGAGCUCAUGGGAUCCUUGCAAUCUCAUGAAGUGAGGCUGUCCAGAACAGAGGAGAAGAAUGAAGAAAAGGCAUUUUACACGAAGGGGGAGACAUCAGAUCAGAAGAAUGGAGGCAGAGAAGCUACUGGUAGAGGACGUGGCAAAGGAGGUGCUCAUGGAAGAGGUGGUCGUGGCAGAGGCCGAGGUGAUGCACAAGGUGACCAAAGGCAGUCAACUGAGAAGAGCAGAAACAAGAGUAAUAUCCAGUGCUACUACUGCAAGCGGUUUGGACAUGUUCAAGCUGAAUGUUGGAAGAAAGAAAGGCAAGAAAAACAAGCUAACUAUGUCGAGCAAGAGGAAGAGCAAGUCAAGUUGUUCAUGGCCUAUAAUGAAGAAGUAGUAUCUUCCAACAAUAUUUGGUUUUUGGAUAGUGGAUGUUCUAACCACAUGACAGGGAUAAAGUCACUCUUUAAGGAGCUGGAUGAAUCACACAAGUUGAAGGUGAAACUUGGUGAUGACAAACAAGUGCAAGUGGAAGGCAAGGGGACCGUGGCAGUAAACAAUGGUCAUGGUAAUGUAAAGCUCCUUUACAAUGUGUACUUUAUUCCUAGUUUGAUUCAAAACUUGUUAAGUGUGGGGCAACUUAUGGUUAGUGGAUACUCCAUUUUGUUUGAUGGUGCUAAUUGUGUGAUCAAAGAUAAAAAGUCUAAUCAAAUAAUAGUUGAUGUUCGUAUGGCCGCAAACAAGUUGUUUCCUCUUGAAGUGUCAAGUAUAGAAAAGCAUGCUCUUGUUGUUAAAGAGACUAGUGAGUCUAAUCUGUGGCACUUAAGGUAUGGUCAUCUAAAUGUCAAAGGGUUGAAGUUACUAAGUAAAAAGGAAAUGGUGUUUGGACUACCUUAAAUUGACUCGGUGAAUGUGUGUGAGGGCUAUAUUUAUGGGAAACAAAGCAAGAAACCAUUCCCUAAGGGAAGGUCAAGGAGGGCAUCUAGUUGUCUUGAGAUUAUACAUGCUGAUCUAUGUGGUCCUAUGCAAACUGCUUCAUUUGGUGGCAGUAGAUAUUUUUUGUUGUUUACAGAUGAUCAUAGCAGGAUGAGUUGGGUGUAUUUUCUUCAAUCAAAGGCAGAGACUUUUGAGACCUUCAAGAAGUUCAAAGCAUUUGUAGAGAAGCAGAGUGGCAAGUGCAUUAAGGUGUUGCGGACUGACAGAGGUGGAGAGUUCUUAUCAAAUGAUUUUAAAGUAUUUUGUGAAGAGGAAGGCUUGCAUAGAGAGCUGACUACUCCUUAUUCACCAGAGCAAAACGGUGUGGCUGAGAGGAAAAAUAGAACUGUGGUUGAGAUGGCUAGAAGCAUGAUGAAGGCCAAGAACCUUUCAAACCAUUUUUGGGCAGAAGGAGUUGCUACAGCUGUAUACUUGCUGAAUAUUUCUCCAACCAAGGCAGUGUUGAAUAGAACUCCAUAUGAAGCUUGGUAUGGGAGGAAACCUUGGGUAAGCCAUUUAAAGGUUUUUGGUAGUGUUGCCUAUACGUUGAUUGACUCACAUAACCGUAGUAAGCUUGAUGAAAAAUCUAUAAAGUGCAUCUUUAUUGGUUAUUGCUCUCAAUCAAAAGGAUAUAAGCUAUAUAAACCUGUUAGUGGUAAGAUAAUUGUUAGCAGGAAUGUGGUGUUUGAUGAAAAAGCUAGCUGGACUUGGCGUGUAAGUGAAGACGGUGCUCUUGUGGAGAUUUCAAGUGAAAGUGAAGUGGCACAGAGUGAAGAUCAACAGCCUUCUGUUCAGAUUCCAGCAAGUCCAACUCCCUCUCAUUCACCUAGUUCCCCAAAUUUGAGUAGCAGCAGUUCUUCACAAUCUUCAGAGGAAACCCCUCCAAGGAAAUUCAGAUCUUUAAGGGACAUCUAUGAGACUACACAAGUCUUGUUUGUAGCUGAUCCAACAACCUUUGAAGAAGCAGUGGAGAAGGAAGAAUGGUGUAGUGCUAUGAAAGAAGAGAUAGCUGCCAUUGAGAAGAAUGAGACUUGGGAACUGGUGGAGCUUCCUGAAGACAAGAAUGUGAUAGGUGUUAAAUGGGUUUUCAGAACCAAGUACUUAGCAGAUGGUAGUAUACAAAAGCACAAGGCACGGUUAGUGGCAAAGGGCUAUGCACAGCAACAUGGAGUUGAUUAUGAUGACACCUUCUCACCAGUUGCACGGUUUGAAACAGUAAGGACCUCAUUAGCCUUAGCUGCUCAUAUGCAUUGGUGUGUUUAUCAAUUUGAUGUCAAGUCUGCUUUUCUUAAUGGAGAGCUAGUAGAGGAGGUGUAUGUAUCUCAGCCUGAAGGCUUCAUAAUUCCUGGUAAAGAAUAGCACGUGUAUAGACUAAAGAAGGCCCUUUAUGGGUUGAAACAAGCCCCACGAGCAUGGUACAGUAAGAUAGAUUCUUACUUUGUAGAGAAUGGCUUUGAAAGGAGUAAGAGUGAGCCAAAUCUUUACAAGGAAAGGCAAGGUAANNNNNNNNNNNNNNNNNNNNNNNNNNNNNNNNNNNNNNNNNNNNNNNNNNNNNNNNNNNNNNNNNNNNNNNNNNNNNNNNNNNNNNNNNNNNNNNNNNNNGAUGGCUAAAAGCAUGAUGAAGCCCAAGAACCUUUCAAACCAUUUUUGGGCAGAAGGAGUUGCUACAGCUGUAUACUUGCUGAAUAUUUCUCCAACCAAGGUAGUGUUGAAUAGAACUCCAUAUGAAGCUUGGUAUGGGAGGAACCUUGGGUAAGCCAUUUAAAGGUUUUUGGUAGUGUUGCCUAUACGUUGAUUGACUCACAUAACCGUAGUAAGCUUGAUGAAAAAUCAGUAAAGUGCAUCUUUAUUGGUUAUUGCUCUCAAUCAAAAGGAUAUAAGCUAUAUAACCCUGUUAGUGGUAAGAUAAUUGUUAGCAGGAAUGUGCUGUUUGAUGAAAAAGCUAGCUGGACUUGGCGUGUAAGUGAAGACGGUGCUCUUGUGGAGAUUUCAAGUGAAAGUGAAGUGGCACAGAGUGAAGAUCAGCAGCCUUCUGUUCAGAUUCCAGCAAGUCCAACUCCCUCUCAUUCACCUAGUUCCCCAAAUUUGAGUAGCAGCAGUUCUUCACAAUCUUUAAAGGAAACCCCUCCAAGGAAAUUCAAAUCUUUAAAGGACAUCUAUGAGACUACACAAGUCUUGUUUGUAGCUGAUCCAACAACCUUUGAAGAAGCAGUGGAGAAGGAAGAAUGGUGCAGUGCUAUGAAAAAAGAGAUAGCUGCCAUUGAGAAAAAUGAGACUUGGGAACUGGUGGAGCUUCCUGAAGACAAGAAUGUGAUAGGUGUUAAAUGGGUUUUCAGAACCAAGUACUUAGCAGAUGGUAGUAUACAAAAGCACAAGGCACGGUUAGUGGCAAAGGGCUAUGCACAGCAACAUGGAGUUGAUUAUGAUGACACCUUCUCACCAGUUGCACGGUUUGAAAUAGUAAGGACCUUAUUAGCCUUAGCUGCUCAUAUGCAUUGGUGUGUUUAUCAGUUUGAUGUCAAGUCUGCUUUUCUUAAUGGAGAGCUAGUAGAGGAGGUGUAUGUAUCUCAGCCUGAAGGCUUCAUAAUUCCUGGUAAAGAAGAGCACGUGUAUAGACUAAAGAAGGCCCUUUAUGGGUUGAAACAAGCCCCACGAGCAUGGUACAAUAAGAUAGAUUCUUACUUUGUUGAGAAUGGCUUUGAAAGGAGCAAGAGUGAGCCAAAUCUUUACCUGAAAAGGCAAGGUAAAAAUGAUCUUCUUAUUAUUUGUCUUUAUGUAGAUGACAUGAUCUAUAUGGGUUCAUCCUCUUCUCUUAUUAAUGAGUUUAAAGCCUGUAUGAAGAAGAAGUUUGAGAUGUCAAACCUAGGGUUGUUGCAUUUCUUUCUUAGUUUAGAGGUAAAACAAGUAGAGGNNNNNNNNNNNNNNNNNNNNNNNNNNNNNNNNNNNNNNNNNNNNNNNNNNNNNNNNNNNNNNNNNNNNNNNNNNNNNNNNNNNNNNNNNNNNNNNNNNNNNNNNNNNNNNNNNNNNNNNNNNNNNNNNNNNNNNNNNNNNNNNNNNNNNNNNNNNNNNNNNNNNNNNNNNNNNNNNNNNNNNNNNNNNNNNNNNNNNNNNNNNNNNNNNNNNNNNNNNNNNNNNNNNNNNNNNNNNNNNNNNNNNNNNNNNNNNNNNNNNNNNNNNNNNNNNNNNNNNNNNNNNNNNNNNNNNNNNNNNNNNNNNNNNNNNNNNNNNNNNNNNNNNNNNNNNNNNNNNNNNNNNNNNNNNNNNNNNNNNNNNNNNNNNNNNNNNNNNNNNNNNNNNNNNNNNNNNNNNNNNNNNNNNNNNNNNNNNNNNNNNNNNNNNNNNNNNNNNNNNNNNNNNNNNNNNNNNNNNNNNNNNNNNNNNNNNNNNNNNNNNNNNNNNNNNNNNNNNNNNNNNNNNNNNNNNNNNNNNNNNNNNNNNNNNNNNNNNNNNNNNNNNNNNNNNNNNNNNNNNNNNNNNNNNNNNNNNNNNNNNNNNNNNNNNNNNNNNNNNNNNNNNNNNNNNNNNNNNNNNNNNNNNNNNNNNNNNNNNNNNNNNNNNNNNNNNNNNNNNNNNNNNNNNNNNNNNNNNNNNNNNNNNNNNNNNNNNNNNNNNNNNNNNNNNNNNNNNNNNNNNNNNNNNNNNNNNNNNNNNNNNNNNNNNNNNNNNNNNNNNNNNNNNNNNNNNNNNNNNNNNNNNNNNNNNNNNNNNNNNNNNNNNNNNNNNNNNNNNNNNNNNNNNNNNNNNNNNNNNNNNNNNNNNNNNNNNNNNNNNNNNNNNNNNNNNNNNNNNNNNNNNNNNNNNNNNNNNNNNNNNNNNNNNNNNNNNNNNNNNNNNNNNNNNNNNNNNNNNNNNNNNNNNNNNNNNNNNNNNNNNNNNNNNNNNNNNNNNNNNNNNNNNNNNNNNNNNNNNNNNNNNNNNNNNNNNNNNNNNNNNNNNNNNNNNNNNNNNNNNNNNNNNNNNNNNNNNNNNNNNNNNNNNNNNNNNNNNNNNNNNNNNNNNNNNNNNNNNNNNNNNNNNNNNNNNNNNNNNNNNNNNNNNNNNNNNNNNNNNNNNNNNNNNNNNNNNNNNNNNNNNNNNNNNNNNNNNNNNNNNNNNNNNNNNNNNNNNNNNNNNNNNNNNNNNNNNNNNNNNNNNNNNNNNNNNNNNNNNNNNNNNNNNNNNNNNNNNNNNNNNNNNNNNNNNNNNNNNNNNNNNNNNNNNNNNNNNNNNNNNNNNNNNNNNNNNNNNNNNNNNNNNNNNNNNNNNNNNNNNNNNNNNNNNNNNNNNNNNNNNNNNNNNNNNNNNNNNNNNNNNNNNNNNNNNNNNNNNNNNNNNNNNNNNNNNNNNNNNNNNNNNNNNNNNNNNNNNNNNNNNNNNNNNNNNNNNNNNNNNNNNNNNNNNNNNNNNNNNNNNNNNNNNNNNNNNNNNNNNNNNNNNNNNNNNNNNNNNNNNNNNNNNNNNNNNNNNNNNNNNNNNNNNNNNNNNNNNNNNNNNNNNNNNNNNNNNNNNNNNNNNNNNNNNNNNNNNNNNNNNNNNNNNNNNNNNNNNNNNNNNNNNNNNNNNNNNNNNNNNNNNNNNNNNNNNNNNNNNNNNNNNNNNNNNNNNNNNNNNNNNNNNNNNNNNNNNNNNNNNNNNNNNNNNNNNNNNNNNNNNNNNNNNNNNNNNNNNNNNNNNNNNNNNNNNNNNNNNNNNNNNNNNNNNNNNNNNNNNNNNNNNNNNNNNNNNNNNNNNNNNNNNNNNNNNNNNNNNNNNNNNNNNNNNNNNNNNNNNNNNNNNNNNNNNNNNNNNNNNNNNNNNNNNNNNNNNNNNNNNNNNNNNNNNNNNNNNNNNNNNUUGUGUCUGAGCUGAGAUGCUCCUGGGUAUGCCUUUUAACAUCAGAAAAAACAAAUAUUAACAAAACUCGAGUUCAAUUGUGAUAAUGUCUAUUAGAAAUUUAUAACUCUACAUUACAUGCAAAAUUUUUAUUUCUAAUAACUCAAAAAUAAUAAUUAACUCACCUUAGUGUAAGUAGUCCAUACUUCCGUGGUAGCUUCGAUCAUUUGAGUUGAUUCAUUGAAACCAAAUCCACUACCAUUUGUAAAACUUCUUGAGCAGCAUAAAAGUUUUUUUUUAAAGUUUUCAUUCUAUUUUUUAUGUGCUCAGAGUUACAACUCAAUUCAAAAUUUUCCCCAAUUUCUCGCGCAACCAUUGCAUAAGCUGUCUUGGCGAAGACUCCUCUUAUCUUUUGCCCUUUAUGCAUUUGUUCCAUUAAUCGAUCAACCAAAAAGUUGUCCAUUUCAUCAAUCCAAGUCAAGUUUCUUUUUUCACUUACACUUUUGUGUACUUCAAAGCCUUCAUUAUGUUCCAUCUAAAAUAAUAAUACAUAUAUAUAUAUAUAUAUAUAUAUAUAUAUAUAUAUAUAUAUAUAUAUAUAUAUAUAUAUAUAUAUGUUUAAAAUGAAAAGUCAAGAGGAGGAGAUAUAAUAAUAACUUCAUUGUAACUCAUUCAAAGUGUGAUUUUAACUAGAGGAGUUAUAGUUCUAAAUACACUCAUCGCACUUAAUAUGACACACAAAAAACUAUACAAGUAAAGAACCAUAAANNNNNNNNNNNNNNNNNNNNNNNNNNNNNNNNNNNNNNNNNNNNNNNNNNNNNNNNNNNNNNNNNNNNNNNNNNNNNNNNNNNNNNNNNNNNNNNNNNNNAAUAAUAAUACAUAUAUAUAUAUAUAUAUAUAUAUAUAUAUAUAUAUAUAUAUAUAUAUAUAUAUAUAUAUAUAUAUGUUUAAAAUGAAAAGUCAAGAGGAGGAGAUAUAAUAAUAACUUCAUUGUAACUCACUCAAAGUGUGAUUUUAACUAGAGGAGUUAUAGUUCUAAAUACAAUCAUCGUACUUAAUAUGAAACACAAAAAACUAUACAAGUAAAGAACCAUAAAAUAAAAGGACUCAUCAACGGUUUCUAUUGUAAUCUUUCCACAUAUCCAUGGUUAUUUUCUCCCUUAAGAUUUCUCAUUCCUUGCAUUUUUCAGCUAAACUCAAGACCAUUGAUUCAAACUCUGCUUCUUUGCUAAAAAACUCUCUAUCGACCUCUGCUAUUAAUCUUUCAUUUGGAUCAACACCCAUGAGAUAGUUAUGGAGGAUACAACAUGCUAGUAUAAUAUCAUAUUGUGUGUCAACAGGGUAAUGUGGCUUCGUCCCACUAGCUAUUAUUGGAAACCUUUUCCUCAAAACACCAAAUGCCCUUUCAAUUGCAUUUCUCAAGGAUGAGUGUCGAAGGUUGAAAACCUCUCUAGCAUUUUCUGGUUGAUGAACACUAUACUCUUUUAAAUGGUAACAAGUGCUUCUAUAUGGGGUAAGAAAUCCAGUUUUUAGUUGAAAACCAGCAUCAGCCAAAUAAUAUUUACCUAAGAAGCAUAGACAAAGGAUAUUUGUUAUUAGUAAUAGUCACUUGAGCUAAUAAAUUAUUAUCUGAUCACCAAUAAUCACCUUGUGGAACAAUCAAUUUAUCAAAAUCUCUCAUUAAUGCAUUAUCUAGGAUUCUCGAGUCUAACGCAGAUCCUUCCCAACCAGGUAAAACAUAUGUGAACUUCAAGUCAAAGGAACAUGCUGCUAAAACAUUUUGUGUUGGAUAGUACUUUCGCCCUCGAUACCUUUGUACAACAUCAUUUGACACUUUUACACGAAAAUGUGACGCAUCAAUCGCCCUUAUGCAAUCCUAUAAAGAAACAAAAUUAUUAGUUUAUUUUGAAAUAUAAAUAAUAUUCUAAUGAUGUUUAUUAGAUAAGUAAGUUUACCUUAAAGUAGGGCCAAAAUUUGGUAUUGUCCUUGAUUUCUUGAGGGCACUUUAAUCCAUCAGACUGCUUUAAGAAGACAUCAUCUAAAGAUAUUAUAGCUCUAAGAACUUGAUGAAAGUGACGACUAAUAGUUUCACUAGAACGCUUGAAAUAAAAUUUCAUAGUUCUAUUCCUUAAAUUAUGACCAACAAUGUGAAGGAAUUUGGCAACUUGUUCUUCUACAUUACUAUGUGCACUAUUUCUAAGACGACCUAUUCCCCGAAGAAUGUUUACUAGUCUUGUGAAUGCAUCCUUUCCCAAACGUAGUUGAUUAUAACAAUCUUCAUUAUCCAUUAGUGUAAGUCUUUCCAUCAAAGCAUGUCGUUCAUAAUCUCCUUCAUUAGAGAUUGAUUUCUCCAAAUAGUUUGAGCAAUGAUAAACUGAAACAAGAAUUGCCGCAUAUGCAGCAUACAUAGCUACACAAGUUGCAGCCCAUCUUCUAAGUCUUUGUCACUCUUCAUUAUAAGUCUACAUGAUAGCAAAGUAAGAGGAAUGAUUUAGUAAAGUCAUUAUUCAGUCUUGAAAUGUGAUAGUUAAAUUAACUUAAUCUAAGAUUGAUUAUGACUAUUUAUGAUAGUUAAAUUAAUGACAAGUUACCACUUAUGGUAAAACAUACCUUACUAGAGUUGAAAUGUCUAGUUUAAAGCAUGAUAACAAAAUGAAACUCUUUCUAAGUUCAUUAUUCAGUCUGAAAUCUGCAUGAUUACUUAAGAAUACUUAGUCCUCCACUUGGUUUUGGGAUGAAUGAAAGAGAGUAGAGUAUUAAGAAGAAGAUGAUGAAUGAAUGACAAAGAAGUGAACUUACCUGAGAUCGUUCAGCUGCCAAAGGGUCACUCGGAUUUUUAUCAAGAUGAACUUGCUUUGCUUGCACAAAUAAUAGAAAAGUAAAUUAAGUAAAAAUAAAUGGAAAACCCAUACACUAUUUUAGUUCAAAUGAAUCUCUAUUUUAGUUCAAAUGCAACAAAAAAAAACUAUGUUAGGAAGCAAUCCCAAACAUGGCCUUGAUUUUUGGUGUUUAUGUUGUUUCUAUCUCUUUUGUAUUUCUGGUAGAUAAACUGAAUGGGCCUUAAUUUUUAUCAAAUGUUAAAUGCUGGUGAUGUUUGGUAUUGGGAAAGUAAUGAGGAAACAAAAUAAAUUAUAAUUGGUGGGUCCAGAUCGGUGAGAGCUGAUAAGCAUCUAGAAUAACUACUUGAUAUUAAAAAAAAAAAAAAAAAAAAAAAACUUUAUGGUUGAAGAAUCCCUAUCAAAGAGAGAGAGAGUGAUGUGAAAUAGGGCACUAGAUUGAUAUUUGGUUUAUGAUCACUAAAGACCAUGGCUUGAAUUUGUCCUGUCCAUUGUUUUUACUCCAGGUUUCCUCAUUGUGCAUGGGACUUGACCUGUGGUCUUGGUCCUCUCUCUGAAACCCUUUCCUAACUUAAACUUAGUCCUUUUCACUUUGUUGUUCCUAUCUAUAUCAGUCUUGAUACUGUUUCUUUUGCAAUAAAUUUGAACCAUAUGUUUAAUAGCACAUAUGUUUUGUCCAAGAAAAAAUUAUAAUUGGUCAGUAUCAAUUUUUCUGCAAAACAUAAAUAGAACCUAUGAUUCUCACAACAAAAAACAUGGUAAAGAAACGAAUCCACAGUAGCAUGAAUACACAAAAAUCAAACAAAGGAUCACCUAUGAGUGUGUAACUGUCAUAAAGGAUAAAAUUAACAAUCCGAUUCACGAAAAAGAGGGGAAAAUUGAGGGAUAACAGACCUUGGAUGUUGUCUGGUUUCUGAGAAGAAGAAACAGAAGAACCCAUUACACGAGUUGAGAAUUUCUGCCUUGCGGGUUUUCUUAGAGCUUCAGAGAAAGACACAAACUGAGGUUUGGAGCCAAAAACAAAUUGGGUUUUCAAAGAAAUGUGUGUUGGGAAGCUCAAAUUUCCCAGACUUCGAGAAGCCAUUGCUGACACCAAAACUACCUCAAAUACGUGUUUGCCUUUACGCCGUAUGAGAAUAUAAGCUUAUUUAUUUAUUUAUUUUAAUUGUUUUUGGUACUGUUAAAUUAUUUUUUUAGAUUCAAACAAUAAUGGAAUUUCUAGCAUGUUUCUAGAUCCUAGUAAGCCAAGAUCCUCCAACUAAUGAACAAAAAUCUAAAUGACAAAGCAAUACUUAUAUGCAAAAUACUCAUAAAAAUUGCCAAGUUAGCAUGUUUCUAGAUCCUGGUAAUAUCCCAUCUCCUCAAGCUCCAAUUAAAUUGAGGAAUCCACUAGUCUCCAAAGUUUCAACCAAGCUCUAAUUCUGCACACUAAGAUUAUUGAUUCCAAUAAUUUCCUCAAGAGAAUCCUUAUUCUUGAACACACUCACAAGUUAUUAAUUGCACCAGAAUAUGUCAGCCAUUUGAAACCUGAGUAGUCCAGUUGGCUCUUGCAAUAUUCCUAUUCCAUAGGUCCAAAAGUGUAUAAAAACAACACAUCUUGUAUGCUUGUUCUCAAAUCACUGAUAUACUUGCAACCAGCAGUUCAUCCAUCUCCAACAAGUCAUUCAUUGAUCUUAGGUAACAGAAAUUCAGUAGUUAGAUACCUUUGGUGCAUGACUUGAAUGUAAUUAAACAGAACAACUUUUCUUUCAUCUUCUUUUUCAUUUUUCUCCAAUUUUUGAAUUUGGGCUUACCUUUUCUUUGCUGAAAAAACUUGUAGUUGCUCCUACUAGGCCCUCUCUUUAAGGGAACCAGUAUUAAUUUAUCCCUCUCUUCAGGAGCUUGAUAGAACUUGGAAAUUCAAUCUCUCAUACACAAAAUCUACAAAUUCCUCAGGUUUAAGACUUCUAAGAAACUCUGAAAUUUCUACCAUGAUAGAAGACUCCUAUCAAGAACAUAUGUCGAUUAUCUGCUGAUUUCCAAACCUAGCAGCAUAGAAUUUAUUCAUUUCAUAGUAAGUGCUAGAAGAAUCAUCUGUAUUCACUGAGACACAUUUUGUUGGCAUCAAUGGACUCUAUGAAGCUGUAAAAAUGUUAUUGUGUUGGUUUAACAGCAUCUCUAGUGUCCUAACCAAGUCAUCCAACUUGGUAUGAAAUUGUGUAUCAAGUGGCACAAUCAUAACUUGUCAUCCUUCCUCCAACUAAUGAACAUAUAUAAGUAAACCUGAUCCCCUCUUUUCCCACUCAAACAAAUCACAAUCCCCACUUCCCAUUUGAAAACACAACCCUAAUCACAACCUAGAGAGUCAUAAUGAUCAUAGCCUACCAGUUGAUGCUUACUAUACAACUUAAGUUCUGUAACUACUCUCAUAAUGUAAGCAAAUCAAGAAAUACAGAGAGUCAUUUGGGAAUCCCCUGGAAUGAUAUCAAUUGAGGUGAUUUUUGUGCCAAGUCAUAUGUGGAAUUUGAUUCAUUUUUAGACAAUUGAACCAAUUUGGCAAUUAAAGAGAAACAAAUGAAGAGUAAUUUGAAAAACUAAGUAUGAUGAUGAAAGAGGGUCUUGUGUGGCUGGUUAGCGAUCAACUUACCAUUGCCAGAAGAGCCACCUCUCUUCUCUCGUCAAAUAUACAUUCACAUGUCAUUGAAAAAACCAAGUAAUAUGGAUCAAAUGAAGCAUUUCCCGUGUGAACACUAUGUCAAAUUCCCAAUUACAGCAUAUAUGCAAUAAACACAAGCCCAAUUACAACAUAUAUGCAAUAGACCUUCCAAAAAAUGAUGCCACCAACAAUGAUACAAAACAAUAACCAAGCACUCAAAGAUAGCAACAAGAUACAUAUAUGCAAUACACAACUGUAAACCCAUUCCCCCAACCAAAUUAUGAAAAAACCAUCAGCCAGUAAACAAUAGCAGAACAUCAAGGGUAAAAAUCAUAUCAAAUCCAGAAAACAACAAGCCAGGAAAGUUUAGAAAAAUUUUGGCGAAAAUUUAAGAAACGGGAAAGGCGAAAGCAACCUAGAAACCCAAACAGAGAACCCAAGAGAGAACGAUUACCUUGGGUUCUGGGUUUUCACAAGAUGAGGUGGAUUGGAGUUCAAUUCAUACCUGAUCUGAAGACAUGGAUUCAAAUACAUUCACUGGAUUUGAAUAAUCCAUUUCAUCCAUGGGAACUUGAUUUGAAGAGCGCACUUCAUCCAUAGGAACUCGGGUGCUUGAAAAUGGUAGGUUUUCAGCCCUAGAAGGUGGUCGGAGUGAUUGUGGUGGCCGUUGAAAGGGUCGACGACAGUGAGAAGCCAUAGCCAUCGAUGAAGAGGAAGUGAGAGGUGCCUCGGUGAACAACAACCCAAUAAAAUUCCCCCCCUCCCCCCUCUCCCCCCCUUUGCCCUUCUCUUUUUCUCUUAUUUUCCUCAUUAUUUUUUAAGGAAAAUAAUAAGGAAAAUAUUACAAUAUUUUCUUUAAUAUUUUUUUCCCAUCUUAUUUUCCAUGUCAUCCAAACUAAAGAAAACCAUUUUCCUCUACAUUUUUUUUCCUUUCCUUAGCAUUUUCUAGGAACCAAACAGAGCCUCAAGGUUUACUAAAGUUGUAGGACUGGCAUGAUUAUUUGCGACCACAUCCUUUGCUUUGUAGUUGAAAUAACCAUCAGAAACAUUUUUUAUUGUCUUGCCUUUAUUUCUAUCAACUUGCGCAUCAAUGAUCAUAAGAUCAGAAGAAUCUUCAUCAGUGUCGAUAUCAAUUAUUUCAUGGUGAUUAACCUCUUUCUGCUUGAGCUUCUUAGAGUCAGAUGAUUGAGAAAUCAAAGUCGGAAGCUUAAUUUCUACCACCUCCAAGUCCAUUACAGAUGAACUGCUACCAACGAAGACUCGCUUUCUAGAGUAAAAACACAUACCGUGAGUGAUAGAUUGUGGGAAACAGUAACAAAUAGAAAUCUGAGAGAUAGAGACUUCGAUUUAGGCGUGUAUCGGCCAAACGACGGCUUAGAUCUUUCUCCCUAUAUGCGUGCUAUGUGCUCUAUAGGUUGUGCGUGGUGGAUCCUCAAAGUGGCAGCAUGUUCCUGUUAUCAAUGGGAGUGUGUGCUAUAGAGUUUUAGUGGCCCCCCUAUAUCGUAGCCCACAUAAUUCCCUUCAUGACAAUCUCUCAAAUAAUCUCUUAUCCGUGAAUCCAUACUCCAAUAAUGUUCUCCCGUUUUUCCUUCCUUCUCCCAUCUUCCAUAUCUUCCUUACCAAAAACCUUAGAAUUUCAAACUUCCCAAAAAACGCCUUCCAAGGUGAGUCUCACAUUCCUUAAACUCCAAUUCCUUAAACUCCAAUGGUAAGUUUCCUUGCAAAAGCAUGAAAUUUAUUAAAUUAAAUAAUUGAAUGAAUAAAUAAAUUACAAAACAAUAAAACAAUAAUAAAUGAAUAAGUUAAUUAAAAGAAUAAGAAAAAUAAUAUAAAAAUGAAGAUAAUAAAUAAAAAUAAACAAGUGAUUGAUAAUAAUAAAAAUAGAAUUAAAAAUAAAAUUAAAUAAAUAAAUAAAUAAAACUGAGUCACACAAGCCAUGUAACCAUGCAAGUCAUACAAGUCACGCUAAAAACGUCUAAUUGGCCCAGUGUGUCUAAAUGGGCCUAAAGUGCCUAAGUGGGCCUAAAGUGGUGCCUAAUGGGCCAAGUGUAUCUAAAUGGGUCUAAAAUGGNNNNNNNNNNNNNNNNNNNNNNNNNNNNNNNNNNNNNNNNNNNNNNNNNNNNNNNNNNNNNNNNNNNNNNNNNNNNNNNNNNNNNNNNNNNNNNNNNNNNGGUUGCCAAGAGUCACAAUGGGGUUAGAUAAAUCCCUCAACCAAAGUCUCCAAGGUGGCUAAAAAAAAGCUAAGUAGUAUGAGUAGCAAUGGGCCACCAAGGAACUACUGUGGAGUACUGGAAGUGAACUUAAAGACAUGUGCUAAAGGGACAAAAUGGAGGGUUUACACACAGCCCCCACAAGCCCUAACUUCUUGGCAACAUCAAGAGCCCAAGGCAAGAAUGCAUCAUACACAACACAAUCAACCGGACACCCUGAGCUUUUGAGCUUCUCAAUGAGGUUGCCUAGGGUUUCUGAGCCAACCACCCAAAACUGCUCCAAGUAGGCACCCUCACUCUCCACUUGGGCUACUCGCCUUCAUCAUAUCCAUUGGAGAUUGUCUCGACUGCGAUGGGACUGGAAUCUCCGAGGAGGGACUUGGAGAUGAAGCGUGUAGCAACUAGUGUGACUUUGGCCCCCUUGUGCACCAAACGCUUGGAGAAUUGGAGCAUAGGGUUUAUGUGGCCUUGGCUUGGAUAUGGGAGAACUAUGCAAUGAGUUUGGUGGGCUCUCUUUUCCUUCUCCAUAUUCCUUCAAAUCUUCACACACUCUUGAGCUCUUGCUCUUUUCCUGUUUUCACUUAUAAAUGGAAAAUCAUCCCACCAACCAUAGGUUUUUUUUUCCUAAUAAAAGAAUUGAAUCUCAUUUUCUACUUAGAAGAGUUAAAAAUGCAAGAUCAAAGAUAAGCAUACAAUAGAAUGAGAUCCACACUAAUUGAGUUAUUAUUAAUUUUUAUAUAUAUAACUCUUCCAUAAAAUACAACAUAUAAAUCUUUAGUAUACUAAUUUUAUAUUCCAAGUAUAUAAUUUAAAGUGUUCCUUCUCAAUACAAACACUACCUUGUGACAACUUUUUUGACAAGAGAUCUUCUUUGUUACACAAAUAUGGAGAUGGUGAGUGGCUUGUGAGAGGGGGGACUUGUGGUUACUAGUUGUAGAAUGUUUGUUAGUUUGUUACCAAUUUUAUUAAUUAACAAGUUUGGAGUAUAUGGAUAGGUUGUAGGCAUUACAUGCGAUUGUUGUCAUCCAUGAUGUGUGUAGAGAAGUGGACAUAUGAGGGUGAGAUUGCACAUUCCUUCUAUCCUCCAAGAUGUCCAACCUUUGUAUGCAUACUAUUUUGAGAGGGAUAUUCUUCCCCAAAAUAUAAGAUGUAGACUAUUUUCAGAGGGAUAUUCUUUAUAUUUUUUUCUCCCUAAGAUAAGAGUAAACAUAUUUUUGAGUUGUUUGCAUUUAAAUACCUUCUUUUUCCAGUUACUUUUUCUUUAUAUGAUAUGUAUAAUGACUUUGUACUUUGGCUUAAUAUUUUGUGCUUUUGCAAGUUGGGCAUAUAUUGGAAAGCUAUUAUUAGACCAAGGGUAUGAUUUGGGAGUUUUUGGGAGUGAUUACUUGAGGUUGGGAAUAUUUUCUAAUAUUUG